UUUCAGCUAUGGUUUUGAAAAAAAGAAAAGGGGAAAGGGUCUUGAUGCUCUGGGCAGGGACGAUUUCCGGCGAUCGGACCACCGUCCGUCCGUAAUCGGCGACCGCUGUAUACGGCGACCGCUGUAUACGGCGGCUGGAAGCGCAAAAUCGACCCCUUUUUAACCCUUUUGUUCCCCUUACCCUAGAUCCAUAGUUGAAGCGCCCAAAAACCUCACGAAAACCGACGAAAAUCAAGAGAAACUUCUCGGUUCUACUCUCCGAUCGCCCCAAACAAGGUAAGAUUUGAUGUCUUUUGUUUAUUUAUCUAAGGAUAAUAGUAAUAAAGAGGAAAAGGAACAAAGAAAUCACCUUUCUAUUAUUCGAUUGCUUCUCAAUAUUCGUUUGUUUUUGUAUUGAUUUGUUUUUUUUUGAAUAUUCGAAAAAGAUCAUCCCUUUUUUUUACAAUAGUUUCCAUUCGGCUUUUUAUAGCCCAUUUGUUACACUGUCUAUUUCCCUAUAUUUUGCUGCUGUUGCGUAUUCUGUUUGUUGUGCAGGUGGUGGUUGAACGGUGGAGCAGAGGCUGGUUGGGGGUUGACAGAGAUGAUGGGACAGAGGCGGCGGCUAGGGUUCUUUUUUCUGUUAAUGUUUUGGGCUGAUGUUAGUGGGUUAGGGUUUGUUUAAUUUGGGCUGGUAGUUUAGGUUUUAUUUUGUUUUGGGUUAAAGGUUGUUGGGCCACUCGGGUUUGAUUGUAAACAGGCUAAAAUUGGCCUACAACAACAAGUGUUUUUUUUUUGGAAUAUUAAUCUAAUUAUAGGUUCUUAUCAUAUCUGUUCUCUUUUAUCAAUACCUACAACUAUUCAUAAUCCUAUUCCAACCCUAAAUAGGAGGAUAAUGCGCUUCAUUGCACUUGAACCUAUAUUCUCCUACGUUGACAAUAAUAUUAAUAUCGAUCAAGCUAAUAUGCAAUUGACUACAUAUAGUAACAAGUUAAUUUCAAAGAAUAAAUCAUCUGUAUAUUUAGAGAUAUAUUCCAUAUCCUAUCAGACCAGAAUAAUAAUAACUUGUGAUUUUUAGUAAAAGAAAAUUAGUCUUUUUUAUGUAUUAGGAAGUCCAUGGCGUGAAGCAAAUGCAAACUCCAAUUGCGUAUAAGAAUUGGCAAUGCCAUUCAUUAAAGGCCAAAGACCAUGUGUAAAAUAAAUUUAAAGUUGAAAAUAAACAUUUAUAAAUAGUACUAUUUAUGAGUCGGGUUACCUGUUAAGACCUGAAGGUCCAUCUAAAAUUAAGGAGGGUUUGAACAAAAAUGUUAUGUCUGAAAAAUGGGCUUGGACAAAAAAAUUAGAUCCGUUUAAAAUAUAGAUCAGGCUCAGACUUGAACAUUUAAGGCUCGAGCUCGGCACGACCCAUUUUAAGUUUAUAAUACUUUUUAUUAUGUUAUUUUUAUGUAUGACGUAAUUUAGAACAUAUUAAAAAAAUAUACUAAAUAUAUAAUACUACUCUAAUGUAAACAUUAAAAAAUGUUAAGAUGACUAUAUAAAAUUUUUCAAUAAAUAAAAAAUGUAUAAAAUUAUUAAAUAUUAAAAUAAAAAAUAUAAAUAUAUUUUAAAGAAAAAUUAUAAAAUAAUACGGGCGGGCCUAAAAUAGGAUUGGGUUAGUAUUUUGCAAAUAUGGGCGGGUUUGGACAAAAAUUUAGACCUAGAUUUUGGGUUGAACUGGACUUGAGUAAACAUAAAAUAUGUUAAUAUCAUGCUUUGACCCGACCCAAACUUGACCCAUGAACGCAUUUAAUUAUAACAAAUAACGUAAAAUAUGAGAUCUAUUAAGACACAUCAUAAAAAAUAAAAAUAAUUAAAAUAUUUGAACAAAACUAUAAUAUGUAUUAAAAAUUAUAUAAAAUUAUUUUUAAUUGAAUAAUUAUAACAAACUGCAUAAAAUACAAAAUUUACACGUGUAUAUAUAUAAUUUAGAAACUACAGGAUAUUGAUAUAAUAUUGAUACUUUAAAGUUUAGAAUAAAUUGUUAACGUAUAAAAAUAUUAUAAUAAUUUGAGCAUACACAAAAUAAUGCGAUCAUGUAUAUGUAUGUCUCGGAUCUUAAAUUGGUUUCUAAACUUUGUAAGUAAUAAUAUUUUAUAAAAUAUGUCCUCCUAUUAAUUUAACCAUUAAUUUGGGUGUUAAAUGCUAGUUCAAGUUUGAUGUGGAUCAUAUUUAAAAUAUGUGGAUUAAAUUGUAAACGUAUGUGUAACUACCGCCAUGAAUAACUCAAAUUUAAUGUUUUUUAAAAUUAAAAAGAAAAGAAAAUAACCCUCCUAAAUUUUAUCGAUAUCGUUUGUUUUUCAUCUCCAACGUGUUAAUGUGAUAAAUACACAUGUAUUCAUAAUUUGUUUAAUGUAUUUUAAAUAUGUUCCAUGUUAGAUUCAAACUAGCAUUCAAUGUUGAAAUUAAUGGCUAUGCUAAUAUAAUGGUAUGAUUGAUACAAUACUGAUACUCUAAGAAUUCAAAUAGAAUAUUUUGAAAUUUAGGGAUUAAUUUAAAAAUUAACUAAUAAUUUAGGGAUAAAUCAUCCAAAUCACCUUUCCUUAGUAGUCCACAAGUGUCACCACCAUCUAUUCUAUGGCUAACUUAAUAUCUAAAAUAACCUAAAUAAUUUCUUAAAUUAGGCUAUCAAAUUUUCAAAUUCUAGCUAGAAAAAGUUUUAUAGAAGAUCUAUUGAGGGGUGCAGCCUUCCACACCUUCUUUAUUAUACUUUUAAAUGUUUGUUUUUUUAUAAAAAAUAUUACAAAAUUAAUUAAUUAUAAAAAUAGGGUGUGAAUAAAUUAAUUAUGAAAAUGAUGUAUUUGUUACAGUAAUUUUGAGUGAUGUUUGACACAUUGAUAGUACCAAUGAAUUUAAAAAAAAAAAAAUUUUUAAUUGGUGCCAUUAAUGUGUCAAGCGACAUUCAUUAAAAUAAAAUUAAAAAAACUGUUGUUUUAAGAAUUAAAUGCAAGGAAAAGACAUUAAAUAUAGAGAGUAUGCAUCAAUGCAUUAAAUGCAUGGAAAAAUAAUUAAGACACUAAAUGUAGGAAAAAAGUUAUUCUUUGGUGUUGGAAUCAAAAACUAAUUUUCUUUUUAAAUUUAUUGGUGCCAUUAAUGUGUUAGGCGACAUCUAAAAUUAUUGUAGCGAACAUUUAGUUUGUUGUAAUUAAUUUGUUUCCACCUUAUUUUUGUAGUUAAUUAAAAUUUAAUAUUAUUUUUAUAAAAAAGCGUAAGAUUUUGAUGUUAGAAAAUAGAAGAUUUUGAGAUUAAAUUUUGUGAGGCUUAUUUUAAAUAUUAAAAAAUUUUAAGUAUUUAAUGAGUUUUUUUAAAAUUAUAGUUUAAUUAAAAUUUUAAAUUCUUUUAUGAGAUUAAUGAAAUAAUUGAAAAAUAAAAAAAAUUAAUUUAAAUUUUUAAAAAUAACUAAAUGGCAUAAUGAAAAUUUUUAAAAAAUUAGGAGGCAAAUUAACAAAUUUAAAGAGAAAUGAUUUUUUUUUUUUAAUUUUGGAGACAGCAAGGCCCACACUAAAGCUUUGAAUCCAAUUAACCCAUCAACGAUGGGCGGGCCUCUAUAAGAGGUACAAAAUUAUUAUCCUACUAAUUGCCCUACUUGUAUUAUUGAUAAUAAUAGGAAUUACGAUUGAGUAAAAUUUGAUUUGAUUCAAAGAAUUCGAUAAAAAAUUUAAAUUUUGCAUUAAAUAGUUAGAAUUAUUUAAGUUAAUCAAGUUAUUUGGAUUAAUUUGAAUAAAAAAUUAAGUUUUUCGGUUUAACUCGAAUAUUAUUACACUAUUCAAGUUAUUCGAAAAUCCGAAUAAGAAAAGACAAAACUAUGUUGUCUUAAUAAACAUUUAUCUUUUCUAAAGUUAAAAUUCAAAACCAUUAAGUUAAAAGGUAAAAUUACGUCAUUUUAAUAAAUGUUUACUCAUAAAUAAAAAGGCAAAAUCAUUAUAUUUUUUUUAUAUAGUUAAAUAAUAUUGUACGUCGUCUACUAGUUAAAUAAUCAGUCUAUGUAAAUGCAACAUUGAGUAUAAGUAAUAGGAUUCGUUACCUCGACUCGAAUUUUUUGACUCGAUUCAAUUCGAAAAUAAUUCAAAUCGAGUUUGGUUACUAAAAUAGGAUUCGUGAAUUCGAUUAAUUCAAAAUUUUUAGACUCGAUUCAAUCAAAUACUCACCCCUAAUAGGAAUCAACUGUUAUUGCAAAGAAAAGAUUGAUUCAUAGGGAGAAUAAAGGGAAAAAAUUGGAAAAAAAAUAUCCUUUGAUUCAUCCACCUUCAGAAAAAAUGAAAAAUAAAAAAAAAUUAUGGAAAAUUAUAAUUUUCACGUGAAACAGUGCACUCACAUGCUUUCAUUGACAAUGCUUUUCGACCGAAAGAUCAAUAGCUAACUAUUGAGAUUUUGGAUUAACUAAACACAUAUUUCAUGAAAUGAUUCACGCAUGUUUGUUUAUAGGGGCAACAAGAUCAACGGAUUGAAAUAUCCCGUCAUUUUUCUAUUUAUUUCUAUAAUGUUUAUUUUUUUUUAUCAAAUUUCAUUAAUUACUGUUAACUUUGUAUUAACUUGUAACGUAGAGAAUAGUUUUACAAUUGGUAUGAUAAUAAAUAUAGUCCUCAAAAUUUACACAUUGUUUCAAUUUGAUUAUGACUCUAAAAAAAGUAAUCCUCAAUAUUUACACAUUGUAUCAAUUUGGCCAUGAUUUUAUAAAAAAACCAUACAAUAUUAUAAAAUUAUAAAAAAAUAUUUUUAGAAUCAUGACCAAAUUGAGAUACUGUAUAAAUAUUAAUUUUUUUUAAGUAAUGACCAAUUUGAUACAAUAUGUAAACGUCGAGUAUUAAACUUGUUAUUAUAUCAAAUUUUGAUGUCAUCUCUUUAUCACACAGUUAACUAUAGUUAAAUGAAUUAGACCAAAAUGACAAACAUGGUUAGUUGUAUGGUCAUUCUCUAACUUUUUAUAAUUGAAUGCCUAAAAAUAAAAGUUAAACAUAGUUGAAUGACCAACAAUGUAAUUUACUAAAAAAUCUAUUUCUUAGGGUUGCAAAUCGGGUUUUUAAGGGUCGCAAUGGAGCAACAUAGGUUCCGACCUAUUUAUCUAAGUUUGAAGGUUCGUGUAAAAUUUGAAAGAGCUUUAAGUAAAAAAUUUUAAGUUUGUUUUAAAUAAGGAUCAUGUUUAGGCUUAAUAUUUUGUAAGUUUGUAAUAUUUUAUACCAUGUUAUUUUUUUUUAUAUAUUAUGUAAUUUAUAACAAAUAAAAAUUAAAUCUAUAGUAAUAUAUAAUGCUACUAUAAUGUAAACAUUAAAAAAUAUUAGAGAUAAUUAUGUAUAAAAUUUUAAAUAAUAAAGAAUAUAGACAACUAUUAAAUACUAAAUUAAAAUAAUAUAAUAUUUUUUAAAUUAAAAAAAUAAUAUGUAUGGGUCUAAAAUGGGUUUAGGCUAACCAUUUACAAAUAUGGGUAGAUUUGAGUAAAAUUUUAAGUACAUAUUUGGCCGGACUAAUUUUGGGCAAGCAUAAAGUAUGUUAACAUUAUGUUUAGACCCGCCCUGGUCCAUGAACACUUCUAAACAUGGGGUAGAUGUUGUUAAAUUUACUAUUGCCUUAUCUUCCGCCUUGCUCAAUUAUGAUUGCGUAAUCUUGAAAAUCACUACUAUCUUUAUGAUCAUGGAUGUUGAACACGUUCAUCCUCAUUCCAUCUCACAUUCUCACCGUCGUCCCAAUUUAAGUUUUAAUAGAUAUUUCUAAUAUUUUUAAAAGAUAAAUAUAUAUUUUAAUUAAAAAUGCCAAUAAUACAAGAGAUAAAUGGAUAAUACCUCAAAACCAAGAUUAAAAUUUGAUGAUUGUGACCCUCUCCCACUAUAAAAAAAAACACAAAAAAACAAAAAAAACAUAAAGCAUUCUUCACCAUUGUCAAAAUAUUUGUUUAUUGCUUCUAACAUUAGGUGGUGAUAGAAAACUAAAAUCCAAAAUUUCCUAAUUCCACUGAGAAAGUCACUUAGAGAAUUGAAAGCUUGUUUCUCUCUUUUUUAUGGCAUAUUACAACUUAUCCAAUCAAUCAUUUUCAAUCUUCACAACAUUUGAUGAAAGAUUUUUUUUUUUUUGCCAACAAAAGUUCACUAGAAAAUUACUCAAAUUUGUAAUGUGUUUGAUUGGAAAAGACUUGAAGUGCAAUAAAAAGGGAGUUUUUAAAUUUGAAUCAACGUUUAUUUUCAGUGCCAUGCGUUUAAUUUUUUUUUAUCUUAUGCUACAAUAUUAUUAGGGGUGAGUGUUCAAUCAAAUUUAGUAAAAAAAUUCGAGUUAAUUAAGUUCAUGAGUUUUAUUUUAUCAUUUUAACUUAAUUUGAAUUCUUUUCGAAUUGAGUCGAGUGAAAUAAAAUUCGAGUCGAGUCGAAUCCAGUGAAAUUAAUUGAGUUAAAUUAAAAAAAACUAAAUAUGUCAAAGAAAAAUAUUGUUACAGUAUAACUAAUUCUAUGUUAGAGUAUACAAAUUUGAAACCAUAUAUGUUUGAAUUUUUUCAAAGCAAAGUAAAAAAAAAAAAAAGAUAAUUGAGUAUGAAAAUUUUGAACCAUUAAUUAAGUCCUAGAAUUAUUAUUUUAGAAAAAAAUAAUUUUUAUAUAUAUUUAGAAAUUUAAAAAAAAUUAAAAUAUAAAAUCUAAAUUUUUAUAAAUAUUUUAAAAUUUCAAAGUUAUUUUGAAUUUUUGAAAAUUAUUUUGAUUUUUUUUGUAAUUUUUGUUGAGAGAGAUCAAUUUGUUUAUUUUCAAAGUUAAUAGGACCAAAAUUGUAUUUAUGCCAAUCUAUUAUUUGAAUUAUUUGAGUUAUUCAAAUGGUGAAAUUCAACUCGACUCGAACUCGAAUCGAGUUAUUCGACUCGAAUAACUUGAUUCUAUUAACUCAAAAUUCGAAUAUUUUGUUCGAUUUUUUUGAAUCAAAUUGAAUUUUACUCACCCCUAAAUAUCGGUAUAGUAUCUAAUAACAUCGCCACCGUUAUAUUUACACUUAUCGCAAGUAAAUGUACUACUCAUCUAAAGAGUAUUUUGGCCCCUAAAACUGAAGUUGGCCUAGGAGUAAAUGAUAUGAAAAAUUGGAAUUAAUGUGUGUACUAAAAAAUUCUAUGCAAAGUUUUUAUUUCAAUUUGGGUGGCUUGAAUUGAUGUAUAUGUAUUAGAAGGUUGGAAUGUGUUGCUUGCAAAUUAAGCAAUGGCAUAAGAAAAUGUUGAAACUUAGGAGCCUUUUGCAAUUGGUGAUAUCAUCACAAACAAGUCUCCUUAAUCAUUCAUUAUUCAUGAGACAAUUGCUCACUUUGAUUUCAAAUUUUGAUAAGGGUUAGCUGUAGAAUAUAUAAUCUAUUUAACAAGGGGUGAAUUUGUCGGUCCUUGGGGAUAAAAAUAAACUUACAAGAAAUGUACAAAAGUUUCAAGGCGUGUAUCAAUGCCACUUUCUUUAAAGUUGUACUCGCCCCUACUUAUAUUAUGGUAUACAGAAGAGUUAUUGACAAAUGAACUUUAAUGAUACAAUGAAUCCCAAUGAUUGUCUAUGUUUUACAUUGACGAAAACAACCCAUUGAGCAUUGAUUGGAGUAUAACAAAAUAUCAAUUUUUGUAGUAAUUCUUUAUAAAAUAAUAUAGAAAUAUAAAAUAUGGUGGGAAAAAUAGAAAGAAACAUUGUUCCUAUGUUUUUAUGUGUCAUGCAAAUAAAAUUCCGCACCUAUUUAUAGGACGUCUCAUUUCUCUUCAUAGGGAUAUGGGUGAAUGUUCGAUCGAAUCGAGUGAACAAAGUCUGAGUUAAUCGAGUUCACAAAUCCUAUUUUAUCAUUCUAGCUCAAUUUAAAAAUUUUUCGAAUCGAAUGAAAUGAAAUUCGAGUUAAGUCGAAUCGAGUGAAAUUGUUUGAGUUAAAUUUAAAAAAUUAAACAUGUCAAAUAAGAAUAUUGUUACAGUAUAAUUAAUUUCAUGUUAGAGAGUAUGAUAAAUUUGAAUCAUUAAUUAGGUCCCAAAUUAUUAUUUUAGAAAAAUUUUAAAAUUUUAACUUAUUUAUAUGUUUUUUAGAAAUUUUUUAGAAAUUUUAUAAUUUUUCUUAAAAAUAUAAAUUUUGAAAUUUUUAUAAAUGUUUUGAAAUUUAAAUGUUAUUUUGAAAUUUUUUUUUUGUAUUUUUUGUUAAGAGAGAGACCAACUUACUUAUUUUCAAAGUUGACAGAGACUAAAAGAGUAUUUACACUAAUCUGUUAUUUGAAUUAUUAGAAUUAUUCGAGUUAUUCAAAUUGUGAAAUUUAACUCAACUCGAACUCGAAUAAUUUAAAUAACUCGAAAUUCAAAAUUUUUUUCGAUUUUUUGGAAUGGAAUCGAGUUUUGCUCACCACUACAUAAAGAUAUAACUACCUAAAUGGACAAUAAUGUCUUUAGCAAUAACUAUUUGGUAAUAAUCAAGUAAUAUAAUUUUUGAAUUUAAGAGUUAUAACUCAUCACUAUAAAUAGCGAUAAGUUUUAGUUAAUAACCUAUGAUAUAACUUUUGAUUACUUAUAACUGUUGAAAAUGUUUCAACAGUUUGAUAAUAAAACGUAGACUAAAUUGUUUAUGUCAAAAGUUCUAAUUAAAAUAAUUUAAUUAAUUAAUUAAUAGGGAAUUUUUUUUUAAAAAAAAACCUCCAUUUUCAUAAUAAAAAGAUUCUACAUUUGCUCAAAGCCUCGUUGACCAAAACAAUACUAGAAUUGUUCAUUUGAUUUAAAGUAAUCUUGAACAGAAAAUUUUAACAAUUAAUAUUUUAAAGUAUUAUCAAAUAAUACCAUAAUUAUUAUUUAAAGAGAAAAAAGACAAAGACCGUUAAAACACGCGCCAAAUGUUGGAAGUUAAAACAAGGAAAUUUUAUGCUGUUUAAAAAACCUUUCCUCCUCCAUUUUUCACUUUCAGCACUGAAACAUUUUGAGGCCCCAUGCAGUACAGCAGCAAAUAUCUCCUUAAUUUCCUUUUCAUCUGCCCCCACAUCUCCUUCAUUACCAUUAACACUCCCUUUUAUGUCCUCGGAUCUCUAUAAAAAAAUUUCCACUCAUCUUUGCUCUAUUUUCAAGGUCUUUUUUAUUUAUUUUUUCAGGAAUGACUCGACAGGUGUAUUUUGUUCCGGCGGCGGAGACGCAAGUAGCUUCGGUGAAGAAGAAAACGGCGGUUACGACGAGCUGGGUUUCGGUAGAUGCAAAGGGGCAAGGCACGGUUCUUGACGUCGACAAGUACGCUAUAAUGCGCCUCGUUCAGAUCCAUGCUAGAGAUCUUCGUGUUCUUGAUCCUAUGUUAUCCUAUCCUUCCACCGUUUUGGGCAGAGAAAAAGUCAUUGUCCUCAAUUUAGAGGUAAUUUCGAUUUCCAUUUUUUUUCAUCCUUUUCAUUUUCUAUUGCUUUAAUUUGAUUUUACUCUUGUUUCUCAUGAUCUGAUCGCAGCACAUUAAAGCUAUAAUAACAGCAGAAGAGGUUAGUUUAUAGGAUAUACGAAUACCUUUUAAUACUUCCGUUUAAUGUAGUACUGAGGUUUUAUUUUGAGAUAGGUCUUGCUUAGAGAUCCAUUUGAUGAUAACGUAAUACCUAUUGUUGCCGAACUUAAAAGGCGAUUGCCUCAAGAAAAAGAUCUCACAUGUCAAGGCCUAGGAGAAGAAGAAGAAGAACAUCCUGGUUUGCGUAACGAUAUCAACACUGGAGAAGAAAACGGUAAUACUAACUUUUGGUUUGGAAAUCAUUUUCUCGAGUUGUCUUUCAUUCUACGACGUUAUAUCGUUUCAUGUAGAAUUUCCAUUUGAAUUCCGGGCACUGGAAGUAGCACUAGAAGCAAUUUGUAGCUUUCUUGAUGCGCGUACUAGAGAACUGGAGACUGAUACCUAUCCAGCUCUAGAUGAGCUGACCUCCAAGGUAUUUUCAUUUUUUUUUCUCUCUGAAUAGUUUAUCCUUAACUUUCCCUUACAUCUAGUUGAAUUGAAGGGAUGAGAUUUGUUGUUGGCUGAUUAUUCUUUCUAGUGCUUCAUUUAAAGCUAGUAGUUGACUUUGAUGCAACAUACAAUAUAGCUAUAGGAGUAGAGUUUUGGCUCUUAAAGUACUACAAACUUUAUUAUAUCUAUUUAACGCCUCCUCACUUUAUUAUACCAAAGUUUUUUUAUGCCUAUUCUUUGUGAAAGUGAUGAAAGGAUUAAACUUAACAUUACAUGAAUACAUUCAACCAUGGAAAAUACAUCAACCUUUCUCCGCAAAAUUGAAUUUCAAUAACGACUUCAGCGAGUAAGAAGUCAAAGCAUCCGUCAGCCACUUUGGUAUAUUUGAGAUUUCUCUGCAUCACAAUUUGGCAUUUUGCCAUUUUACUGCAUGUGCUGUUUAGUCCUUUUACCAAACUUGCCUUGAUAAUGACAGUAAUUACAUCUUAUGGUGGUAACUAAGCAGUUUAAUUUCAUUGAAACUGUCAGGCUAAAUGAGAGAAAGAAAGCUAGGUAAAAGCUGCAAUGAUAGCCUGAGGUUUCGGUAUCGCAAGAUGUGCUUCUGGCUCAGAUUUUCAGUUCACAAUUAACUUGGUCAUCAGGAGUAGGCUCUAGUGUUAAGGCUGGUCUUCCUCUAUAGUUGCUAACAUUAUUACCAACUGCAUCCUAUAUGGCCACUAGAACAGGCUGCACUUUCACUUUGAGGCAUCCAUAAAUAAUGUAAUGAAAUAUGAGUAGCAUUGAGAGAAAUAGUAAAAUACGUUAUAUGACCACAAUGUUGAAUAGAAGCUCUUGCAACAUACGAAUUACAAUGAAACAUUGUCCACUGUGAUUCAGUUGUUUAAUUGUCAUCUCUAUAUAACAUGGAAAUAAGAUUUUCUAUAUCACAGCUUUUCAUUUGCUUUGCCUUAAUGUUAUUUGAUGAAUAGCAAAGAGUUUCAGUACCACUGUUUUCUAGGUUUGCCUGUAAGAUAAGUUCAAUUACAAGCAAGAAUUGUAAUUAUGUGCAGAUUAGCAGUCGUAACUUGGACCAUGUGCGUAAACUGAAAAGUGCAAUGACAAGACUGACAAAUCGGGUUCAAAAGGUAUGUUGCCAUGUUUAGGAUUCUAGAAGCUAAACAUCACUGAAAUUUCAGUUUCUCAUGGUGGAUGAAUAAUUUUUUUGUCAUUCUUGAUUUGGCCCAAUGCUAAUAAGCUGCUUACAGCUUUUCAGUUAUCAGAUGACUUUGUGCAAUAACAGGCAUAAUAAAUAUCUACCUUUUUUUUUUUUUAAGGAUUACUGGAGAUUUUUCUUAUUGGCGCAUGUAUAGAAUGGUCCAGCUGAUUUCCAGAAGGAAAAUUCAAAUAAACUCUCCUGUUAACUAAAGAUUAACGUGCAUUGGUAUAGUCUUAGUAGUACUUCAGUUCUUUAUUUUGGCUUUGUCAGUCACUUAGAAUUUAUAAUAUUCUUGCCUCCGCAAGUGAGUUUUCACUGAGAGGCUGAUCGUGCACGAACAGUGAACACAUUUAGAAACCGAGGGUCAGAUUUGUGGCUUCCAAAACAGAGAUAUUUGGAUUCAAGGCUACCAUAAUUGUUUUCCGCCAUUGCUUGCACUUUCAUCAGUUUUUUUCUUUCCAUUUAAAAAAUGAAAAGCCAAGGCCCUAGAUGCAUGCGAAUUCAUAGGAAAAACCUCUUUAAGCAAAUAAAAGGAAGCUAACGGGAGGCACUUGGGGGGAUAGGUUUCUCUGUUCAAGGAGUUGAUCCGGAUAAUCUGAUUUUGGUACAGGUUUUCCCCGUGGAAGGAUAACAAAUUUGGUUGUUUUCUAGUUGAUCUCAUGUUCUAAUAUUUAGUCUAGGAUGCAAGUCACUCGGAAAACCAAAGAGGCAAACGUAACCUCCCAAAGUAAACCCGGGAGAGCCACAAUAAGAACAACUUUAUGAUACUAGAUAAAACGGGAUAAUGAGGAAGAAAAUGUACGUUGGUAAGGGCAAUACCUUUUCUCGGUCUUUUGGCUAAGAUCAAAUGUAAUAUCUGUUUUACCUCAGAAUAAGAAGAAAUAUUGGUAAGUGCAUAUACAUUCUGUAAAUCAAUUGGAAAACCUGGUAAUUUUAACAAGGAGGAGCAGUUAUAACUAGAGGUGCAAGGAUGAUCCUGAUUUCAAAAAAAAGACUCCUCAAAUGGAAAAGCCUUAGGACCUAGGAGCCAAUAUAUUAAGAGGGGUUUUGGCAUUUUGCUAAGAUACCUGUAACUUUCUCAUUGAAUAACGUACGAACAUUAUAUUGUCUAUUUCAGUAGUAGUUUAAUUGAUCUAAAAAAAACGUACGAACAUUUCUGGGAUGUGUCAAGGUUCGAUAUCUUGGUUGGUUAGAUUUUAACCUGAGGUCCAGAGUUCAGUUUACAACUAUAUGACUGCUAGUGCUCUCUAGGGCAUAUGUUGCAGAUCCUUAGGCACUAAUGACUGAAGUAAAACAUAGUAGAACACAUUAAGUCCCUAGACUAUUUUAUUUUAUUUUAUUGAAGGAGCUAGACCAAUUCUUUAUAAGCUCUCCUACCUUUAGGUAAGAGAUGAACUUGAACAACUUUUGGAUGACGAUGAUGAUAUGGCAGACCUUUAUUUAUCGAGAAAGUUGGCAGUGGCAUGCUCACCUGUAAGUGUUUCUGGUGCUCCUAAUUGGUAUCCGUCCUCACCAACUAUAGGUUCAAAGAUAUCAAGAACAAGUCGGGCAAGUGCAGUGACAGUUGAGGAGGACAACGAUGUCGAGGAGCUUGAAAUGUUGCUUGAGGUAAUUGAAGUCGUUACCUGUCAUGGGUUUUGAUUAGCUAAUGCAAAAGUAAAUGUUUAUGUUUAGAUUUCUGGAUUCUGCAGGCUUACUUUAUGCAAAUUGACAAUACAUUGAACAAAUUGACCACGGUAGGCUCCUUAGUUUUAACAAUAAUUCUGCUCUAAUCUCAUGGUUACUUAACAUAAUUAUCCUUUUUUCUCACCAGCUGCGAGAAUACAUCGAUGACACAGAAGACUAUAUCAAUAUCCAGGUGAUCAGCUAAGUAAAUUUAUAUUGGGAAAGAAAAAAAAAACUAAGGUGGCAAAAUUGCUGAAGGAGGGUUUUGAUGGUUGAGGGACGUGUCUGAAUGUCUCAGUUACCUGACAAUUUUGAUUUCAAAUUGAAGCUUGGGAGUUUUCUGUAGCUAUCAAAAUUCUCCCAAGGCAAUUUAACGCCUUCAAGUAUCAUGACCUAAUUUGAGAUCUUGAUAAUCUGAAUUAUGCGUUCUCUUGCAGCUUGACAAUCAUCGAAAUCAGCUUAUUCAGGUGCUCCUCUAAAAUAGACUCCAAACCCUUUUUCUCUGCUGUUAUUCAGUGACAUAAAUCUGGUUUCGAGAUAGAAUAUUAUAUCUGCAUGCAGCAUGCGUUUAUGUUUACUGGUUUCACUGUAUGUGGCAGCUAGAGCUCUUCUUAAGUUCUGGGACUGUUUGCUUGUCUAUAUAUUCGCUGGUUGCUGCAAUCUUUGGCAUGAAUAUUCCUUAUACAUGGAAAGAGGGCCAUGGAUACAUGUUUAAAUGGGUAUGCCUCGUAUGAUCACCAUACCAGAAAUAAACUACUAUAUUUGUCUACGAAAUUUAACCUACAGUUUUUUUCUUUUUAAAGAUUUAUUUCCCCAAGUUAUUGAUAAUUUGCAUAAAUUUGUUGAGAAUUUUAAUGACGAAAACAUGCUGUUUGAAUUUAGGUGGUCAUCCUUACCGGACUACUAUGCACAUCGACUUUCACAUCAAUAAUUUCUUACGCGAGGCACAAGGGUCUUAUUGGGUCAUGAGGUGCAUAGAAUGCGUUCAAGGUAAUAGGGAUAAAGCUUGAUCUUUUUAUGCAGAUGCAUAGAACUGAAAUGAAUUCCUGGUAAAGCUUCAGGUCAUUGGCAAUUUCAUGUGAAACAUUGCAUAUGCUAUAAUAUUUAGUAUUAUCAAUUUAUCAUGCUUUAUGAAAAAUAUGGUCCAUGGGAGGGGUUGUUCCUCCUAUUGUAAUUGGUCACUGCAUUUGGCAGAACAAAGUUUUAUCAAGUAUCAUCAUGUUGGCAUAUACAUAAAUGUAUAUAUACGUUGUAUAUUUUAAAUGUUGUGUGAUAGUUGAUACUAAUUGGGUUAUUUUUUUGUUUUUGUUUUUUUUUUUUGGGGGGGGGGACUCAAGUGGCCUUUAGUAUGCCAUUGUCUAGAUGGUAGGCCACCUUAUAACUGUUGUAGAGGAAUAAGGCAGGCCUUGUCUUGUGUUACAGUUACAACAGACAUCACGCCACACAUCAAUUACUGCUAUCAUCAUUUAUCAUUUUCUGUUUUUAACGCUCAUGUUUUCCUUUUCCCACCUUCCAUGGCAUUUUCAUUUCCAUUUCAUUAAUCUAAGUGUUUCCAGUGAGCACUGACUAUGAGGUGGGUGGAUCUCGAUAGUUAGUACAUUUGAUUCAUGUAAUCAUUUUCGGGGAGCGGGUAUAGAGCAUUAAUUCCAGCAUUUAUAAUUUCUUCGGAUACCUACCAACCAAAGUUGUCAAAGCCUUUCACUGUAACAAAAUUCUAACGAGAUUUCUGGCACUGCGACGAACAAAUGCUCUCUCUCUCUCUCUCUCUCUGCCUUAUCCUUGUUUUUAGCGUGGUCGAAACCUUUUUCAUCAUUUCCCAAAUAGCUUUGCCUCGUACCUCUGUGUCCUGCAUCUUUCCUUUACUUCUCUGGGCAAAAUGUCGUGCAUGUUAAGUUUAAAAAUUAGAAUAUAACAACCAUCCCCUUUUAUUUUUAUUUGGGUGGGGGCACAAAUUAAAAAAAAAGAAAAAAAGAGAAAUAGCUUUGGUCUUUUAAUGCAUAACAUAAUACUAAGGCUUGUAGAGGAGAAGAUUGAAACCUAAGACUUACUCAUUUGUCACCAUUUCAAUAUUACCUUAACAAUGAAGGUUAAUAAACCAAUCAAUUGCUACAAGAAGUCCCCAAAAUGUGCAUUAUUAAUAAGCUCUACAAUUUUAUUUUUUUUUGUUUUUGUUUCUUUGUAAUGAGUGGCUGAAGUUUAAGGGAUAGGGGAAGCAAGAUAAAUUCUUAUUUGAAAUCCGGGUAAAAUUUAAAAAAAAUAAAAAUUCAACAUCAAUAUAAUUUUUAAUCGAACUUAUAAGUGAAAUGAUUUGAAGAAAAACUAUUUAUAAUAUAUUUAAAAAUUAAUUAGUAAAAUGAAAUUAAGCAUUUCACAAUUUCUUGAAUUGUAAUUCGGCUUAUAAAAUUGAAAAUUUUUAAUAUCAUCAUUGUAUAAAAAAAAAAACAUGUUCUUUCUUUUGCAUACUACAACGACACCAACACGAAUACUUCGAAAAUACUAAAAUUGAUUUUUCACGUAAAUAUAUAUAUUUUAUAAUAUUCUGUUAUUUAUUCACUACCAUUAAUAAUAAUAAUAACAACAAAAUUUAAGCCUCUUCCCCCCUCCCCCACCCCAAAAGAAUAAUAAAACACAGUAACGACGUCGUAUAUUAAACUGCAUCCUAGGGUUACUCUGUUUUCUUUAGGGCGCAUGUCCCAUACAUAUUCACAAAAGGGACAAGUCACCACCGACCCAAAAAUUUCGAAUCGUGUAAUUUGAAGCCUCCGUUGAACUUGUCUUAAAUAUUUAUUAGAAAAAAAAAAUAAAAAAAUAAAAAUAUGGGGAAAAAUACAUAAUAAUAAAACCAAAGGAAAACUCUUUGGUUCAUGCUCCUUUCGACGACACCCUCUUUAGUAUUUUUUUUUCUUUCUCUUUCUAUUUGGUUAGAUUCAGAUCAUCGUUGCCUUCCUCUUCUCAACAACCCUAUUUCUUCUUCUUCUUUGUCUGAAAAGAAAUCACCAUUGUUUCAUCGUAAUUAUAAUAUUUUCCCCUUUUUUGUUUUUUUUCCCUUAAUCUCAAUCCCUGCUUUCAGAAUAAAAAUUAUUCCCAUAUAGCUUAUACACCCAUAUCUCUUUACCUUUGCUUCUCGCUUUUUUUCGGCCUCUCUCUGUUUAUAAUCCUUCCUCUUGUUAGUAUAUUUCUGUCAUGGGUUUUAAUGCAGGUUUGUUUAUGAAGAUAUGUACGUAAAUUUUUCCUUUUUUUGCUUCUUUUGAUUGAACAUGCAGUGAGGGGGAUACGUGUUCAAGGGGUUAUUGAGUUGAGAUUGAAACAAGAGAAAGGUGAAAGGGAAGAGAGAUGGCUAAUCAGGUCGUCAAAGUGAAGAGAGAAGCGAUUGCGGCAUGCAUGACUUGCCCUCUUUGCAAUAAGCUUCUUAGAGAUGCCACCACCAUAUCUGAAUGUCUUCACACGUGUGAGUCUCUCUCUUCUCCCUCAGAUUUAUAUCUCCUUUUCUUCUUUUUUUACUUGCAAAUUUUGUUCCUUUUUUUAGCUCAUUUGUUCUUAAUUCUUCAAAUUUUGUUCCUUUUUGCCGUUUUAUAUCUGGGUUUUUCUUGCUUUCAUUUCUUACCUUUUCGGUUGACCAUUACUGUGCCUUAAUAAACUUAUGGUUUUGCUGUUUUAUUUCGUUUCCCUCUGUUUCUUAUUACUUGAUGCUGAUGCAUUUUUGGUACAAUAACUGGGUUCAGAUUAGUUUAAUAAACUAGUCGAAAACAGUCGUAUUUCUUAUACAGUUUGGUUAUCGAGAAAGUUGGUUCUCAAUGUAAUUCAUUCAUGGCUUCUGUUUAUUUGAUUACGAAUCCGUUCCUUUAUUUUUUUUUAUUUUUUUUUAUUUUUUGCACUUGUUGUUGUUUUCCACAUUAAGCUAAGGCUCCCUACUAUCAUAUUCUUUAUUUCCAAUUCAAGGCUCCUUUCCAACAUUGGAGCUUUCCUUUUCUGUUUUGUAACUCCAAAAUAAGAUUCAAAUUCCCAGAUGAUUUCCCAGUUUUAACUCGUUUUUAAUUAAAAUAUUUGCUAGGAUUGAUGGGUGUGAUCUUUAUUUAUGUGCCAUAGAAUUCUAUUGAGUCAAUAAAUAGAAAUUUAUGAUAUAUUUUUCUUUUGAAUUUUAUUUAGUUUGCAGAAAGUGCAUAUAUGAUAAGAUAGAAGAGGAAGAACUAGAAUGCUGUCCGAUAUGCAACAUCGAUUUGGGUUGUGUGCCUCUGGAGAAAUUAAGGUACCAUUCUUUUGCAUAUUAUUCUCCUCUACCAACUUCUAAGCCUUAACUGAUGUAUACAAUGCGUUCUUCAUGACACAUUCUUGAAAUUUAAACUACUCCUAGUUUUAAUCUUGUCAAUUGCUCUGAAUUUAUAUUUACUUGUUUCAAGUGGUUACUAGCAAAGUUUACUGAUUUCUUCUGAAUGUCCAAGGAUGAUUAAUAUUUACAAAUUAGGGGCUUGUAUAUGUACGUUAGCCAAUUUCAAGUAAAUUAUCUAGGCAGAGUCUAGCAGUUAUGCAAAUGCAAGGACUCCUAUUGUGAGUCUCUCAGUGCCAAAAAUCAAGGUGAAAUAUGUUGAAGAGGAAAAAAUGACCUUAUGCUACCCGCUUUUGGCUUCCCUGUAUAAUCCAUCAUUUUCCGUCUUUCUUGGUUGAGUGUCCACACACUUAAUGUUGGUUAAUCAACAUAUUGGAAAAUUAUUGUGCAUUGACAUUGGUCUGUGCUUGUGAUAAUCAGGCCAGACCAUAAUUUGCAAGAUGUGCGGGCCAAAAUCUUCCCUCUUAAAAGAAGAAAAGUUAAGGCACCUGAAGUUGUACCCCCAGUUACAGUCCCAACUAGAAGAAAGGAGAGAUCACUCUCUUCGUUGGUGGUUAAUGCCCCCAAAGUAUCAUCACAAACUACCAUGACUGGGAGGAGAACAAAAGCUUUUACCAGAAAGGCUGGUGCUUCGCGACAUUCCAGUUUUCCAAUAGAGAAGCCUGUUAAAGGAGAUGAAGGCUCUAAGGAGGAUCACCAGGAGAUUGCAAGCUCACCUGAGACACUAAAUAAAUUCACUCAGAAUAAAAGACAGGUAAAUUGAAGACAAUUUUUUAGGUGAUAUCCUUUGUUCUCGUAGGGCUUAAUAUUGUCUAAUAGUUUUCUUUUUCUCAAAUAUCCAUUCUAAUUGAAAUAAAUUGUUUUAGCUUAAACUGAUAGUAUCUGCGAUGUUAUAAAAUUGAACAAUGCAGUGUGCUUCUUCUGCCGAACAUAUCCAAAACAUAAAUAAAGAAGCAGAGAAUGGCGGCAAAGCAUGGGAUGGGAAAUUGGACCUUUGGAAACCUUUGAAUUGUUUAGUGGAGGUUGCAAAUAGGACCAAGUCCUUCAAGUCCAAUUCUCAAGGCUCUGAUUCUAAGUUAGAACCUUCCUGUGUGCCCUCCAUUGAAGCUCAUACGUGCAAAAGCAAACAUAGAGAAGAUAAAUGCAAAACAAAACUUGAGGAUGAAAGGACUAGUGCUGGUCCUGCAACUUCAGAAACUGUAACACCUAAAAAGCUGCGCAGAGUCAGUCGAAAAAGGGCUUCUGGUUUUGGGGAUUCUGGCAUCUCCCCGCAGGCAGUGCUAGAUGCUGCUGGUCCAAAGCAUGAAAGAAGAAUUGGUCCUGUUUGGUUCUCAUUAGUGGCCUCUGAAGAUCAGUAAGAAUUGAUUUCAACUUUCAGACUUUAGUGGUUUGAGAACAUAGUUGCUUAAGAUUACUUGUCUUGGUCAUAAACUGAUUCAAAUGUCAAUGCUUUCAGGGAAGGAGAUGCUCCCCUCCCUCAAAUUUCUGCACAUUACUUGAGGAUAAAGUACAUUCCUUUGUCCAAUUUCUUUUGCAUGUGUCUUACAGUAGCUUGCUAUAUCUAUUUUUCUUCCUUUUGGACGAAGACUGUAAAUUUUAUCUGUUGUUUGUUAAGACUGUGAUUCUGACUUGUCAGCUAUCCUGUUUUCGGUACCAUAUUCUCCUGAUAUUAUGCUUAGAAUGCAGAGACAACAAACAUGUGGUCUUUGCAAAUCUAGUGGAGGAAUUAAAUAAAUAUUAUAUGCUGGAUUCAGUAAGGUGACAGAUAAGUUGGAGUUAUAUAGGAAGUGUUAAUAGACUGUGAAAGCAGAAAGGAGAUGGGUGAAGGCGAAGAUACUAAUACCCUGACAGUCUUCUGUGUAACUCCUGCACCCAGAGUUCCACUUCUUGAAACGCGGAUGGUGGGAGCUACUGAAUAGUAUAAUGACACACGGGCAACCAAAUAGAUCGUGGGCUUAACUUAGUUCCAUCACAGCUUUUUGCCGGUCAUCUUUGGUUAUGUUAUCAUCAAAAUGAUCAAGAAAGCAUUUGACCAGUAUAUGGAUGAUUAUGUAAUAAUCCAGUAAGCUUAGGAUAAAUAGGAAGAAAGUACAUGACAGUGUCGUAAGACAACUAUGCUUGGAUUAGAAGUGCUUAAGGUUUAGAUUGUUUUAUAUGGUGUCUCUAGUCACUUUCUGCUGUUAAUUCAUCUCCUAUUGACUUAUUAUCGGUGAUUCUUUUUUCCCAUUUUAUAUUCUCUCUCUUGGAAGGUGUUAAUUCUGCAUAGGGGAAUAUUUAUGACAUUAUGGGCAUUUACUCUGGUUAUGCUACUUUAGCCUAAAUCAUUGUGGAAUAUACCUUCUGGACACUGUUGCCUAGCAUGUAAUAGUUAUCUCCUGAAUGGCCUGUUUAUUGUAAGAUGAAUGCUUUUAAGGGGAAUAGAAGAAAUAAUCUGCAGUUUGUUUCUAUUUCCAAGUAACCAUUUUAACUUGACCAAUUUUUCUUUAAGUUUGGUCUGUCAUCAUCACUAGCUAAACCGAUUCUAUCAAAUUGUUAAAUUAAAGGUGCUUUCUCCUGCCUCUUUUUCUACUUUUUCCCCCUUCCAUCAAUUGCAUAGCAGGUUUACAAUUUUUGUAUCAGGUUAGUGAUCAUGUUUUAAACCAAAUGAUAGCUCUUUGUUAGUGUUCGGUAACAAAUCCUGUUGAAAUGUUUUUCUCAUUAUAUGUUGUUACAAAUACACAAAGUUGAACUUAUCUCUGACCUUUCAAAUGGUAGAAUGAUUAAAAAUUUCUUUAACUACAGGAGAUAAUUAUCAUACUUAUUUUAUUCUGUGACAGGGAUGGAAAUAUACCUGUUUCUUUUAUUCAAAAAUAUCUGAAGAAGAAACUGGACCUCACUGAUGAAGCUGAGGUGAGUUAAUCUCUCCUUGAAUAAUGUUCUUUAAUAACAUGCGAAUAUGAAAUUUUACCAAAAAGAUUUUAGCUUUUCUGUAUUUUUACUAUGAGGCUCAUUUAUGAUGUCAUGGAGAUGCUUUAUUAUUAUGCAUGGAUAAUUGACGUCUGGUUAAGAUAGAAGAGCUUCAAGCUUUAUUCUCCACUUCAUGCAUGUGGGAUAAACCAUAUGCAUGUAUAACCAGUCUGAUUUAUAGAAUCCACAUCUUAGUUGUUGUCUUGUUUGAUAACUUUUUUUUUUACUUAUCUAGCGACAUCACAUUUAGUUUGUGAAAAUUUCUGAAGAAUAUAUAGGUAAAUUCCAACAAGCAGUUUGAAGAAUUAGUUUAAGCCAUAGAUCUAUCGUCUUCUUCGAUAAACAAGGUGCAAUGUGUUUAUUUACAUUUUGGUAUAUACUUGAUGACAGGUUGAGAUAAAAUGCAUGGGGCAGCCUGUAGUUCCAACACUGCAGUUGUAUAAUUUAGUUGAUUUGUGGCUACAAACAGCAGCAACAUCACAGCAAGUACCGGCCACCAUUGGUUCAUCUGCCAAGGAAUUCGUCAUGGUGUUGGCGUAUGCACGAAAAGCCCCAGAUGAGUAAUAAUGCUUUCUUUAUUUCAUUCUUUUCCCCACCACAAUCAAUAAUCUCUCUCUCUCUAUAUAUAAAAUAUAUUGGAAUUUCAUUGGUGAUAGAGUAGGACAUUUUGAUCCUCUGGCAUAUAUUUUCUUCUACAUAAACAUAUGUAUUUAGUGAGAUUGGUUCUUCUACAAUAUAGUUUCUUAGAGCACCGUAUGUGGCCAAGUAAUGGGAUUUGCUAUGUUAAAACAUCAUUGUCAUCCAACUUGCCACCCAUUAGUGUUACAAUUGCUUCAUCUUCCUUUUUGACUGUCUUCAAUUUAUCAGUUUGAUGUAAAAUUUUCAUCAUCGUUUUCCACAUUACCCAGGGAUUCAUUUAUUUUUCUAAAUUUUUUUAACUUUUAACAACUAAAAAAUUUUAUGCUUUGCUACGACAUCGUUUAAGAAAAGACAAAAUCAAGCAGUAGGCCUUUUGAAGACAUUCUGAUAAGGGGAAAAAGAAGAAAAGAAGGAUAGCCACAUUACACCAACCGAAAGGCUAAGUUGGGUUAGCAAUAGGCAAAAUCCCAAUUAGGACAAAAUAUGAUUAUUAGCGGAGACAAAACCACGAAUCUAUAGGAAUCUACCCACCAAAAUAUCUGUUGGGCACUUGGGAGAGCUCAAUUGUCAAUGGAACCUAUCUUUAGUUUUACCAGCAAAACCCCUAAACUAAACCCAGAACUUGAUUGUACCAGAAAGCAAGCAAGCAAGCAAGAAAAUCAUCAAAGCUAAGCUUUAAUAAGAAGUAACAUCUCUAAUUGAAUUUUGGGUACCUAUCUUUAGUUUUGGGUUGAAAGCAUUACAUAAAAAAUUACACCAAAAAAAAAAAAACACUAGAAGCAAAGAAUGUAUCAGCGUAAUUAACAAAUUGGAUUUAAACGCUGGAGUACCCACCACGGGUGGGGCUGCCGACAACCGAAAACAGCCCACCAUCGGAACCGUCAAGUCCGUCCGAGUACAAAUCCUCUGUUCCCCUAAACGCAGCGUGAACUCCCACGAUAAAAGCCCCAAUUAGAACGGAAACCAACACGUUCAGCCAAACGUCGGUCAAAACUAGGGCUACAAUCGUAAUUACGGCGAGGAUAGCCAGCACGAUGCGGUCGUCGAUCGAACGGUUGAGAAUGACCAAGGGAUCGUCACGGAAGAAGUAGAGGAAGAACCAGGCUACGAAGACGACCAAGAAAACGAUCAUUGAGAUCGGGUGCCAUAGGAGGCUGAGGAAGAGGAUCACCAGGAUUAUCAUGGCGUAGUUCACCCGGAAGUAGUUGAGGUUACGCUUCAUACGGGCGGAGGCGUCACCGAAGGAAAUGGGGCGGGCAAAGGACGAGAGGGAAAGGAACACCCGCCAGGGGCGGCGCGUGAAGGUCGACAGAGUAGCACGCGUGAAAAAGGCGGUGGUGGGCGGUGAUUGGGAGGCCAUUGUUGGCGUGGAAGAAUCGAAUUGGAGAGGAGUGAAGAUAAUCUGAACUGAUAAUCGACUACUGAGCUUGGCUUAACCAGCAAGUAAUACACGGUAAAGCGAGAGAGAUUGCGAGAGACUAGUUUGACCUCUUUCGUUUUAAAGGGAAUCCUCAAUUUUCCAUCUGUCUUUUACUAUUCUUUGAUAGCUUUUUUAAUUUAUUUAUUAACGACCCGAAUUGCCAUAUUAAAUUUUCACAUUUAUGCCAAAAGUUUAUUUAUUUAUUUACCUCUUAAAUUUUUCCAUUUUUAAUAAUGAAAAUAUUUGAUACACUACUCGUAAAAGUUUAAAACAAUGAAGGAAAUUGAACUAUAACGUUUAACCGAUAACAAUAGACAUUACUUGUCCUUCAAAGUUACAUUUUGCACCAACAAAGUCGAUUGUGAGAAAAAAAUUCUUGUUUAGCAACACCUUAACACCUUAUAGCAUCAACAGCCAUGUUUGUUGUGUAUAUGUUGAAUCUCCACUUGUCAAUCUCUCGUCAUCCAGUUGCAAACCUCCAAUGUUAAUCUCGACAAGCCCACCACUUUGACUCCAACUAACACACCCUUUCUCUCAAGCCGCUUUCAGUCUAUCAACAAUUGCUCGAAAUUCUGUCUCUAAGACCGAGCUAGUGUCUAUAUUAAUGGCCAUACUCAAAUACCCAAUUGCCUUGGUUACAUAUCAAUUUUUUUAAACUGCUAAUGGAAUAAAAGAUACAUCACCAAUAUAUGAAAUACUUACCCUUUUAAUAAAACGAUGCUUUUUCUCUUAAAAUAUAUAUAUACACGACCUGUAAUGCACAAAUUGUUAUAUAUUACUAUAUAUGUGGAUGGACGUAGAUGAUGCAAUGCUAUUGCAAGGGAACAUCACCAAACAAUACAAAAAUAUAACACAAUUAAUCAACAUAUUAUUAACAUUAGUCUUUGAAUUGAAUAAAUUUUUUUCAAUUUUGAUCCUAUGAUGAUGCCUGAAUUCUUUUUAAAAAAAUAUUUUUUAUUAGAUAAUAUAGUACAAUUUUAGAGUAUUAUCUCAUCACGUGAUCAAAAUUAGAAAACUUGUCAAGUUUCAGGACUGAUAUGAAAAAAGUUAACAAAUUUCAAGACUAGAAUGAAAAAAAAAAAACUGGAUUGAUUAAAGAUUAAAGGUUAAAGAUUAAAGCAACUAAAUUCCCAAUAUUUAUAUAAAUUUAUCAAACACCAUCUAUGUGUAUCACGUGAUCUUUUAAUAUUAAAACAGAAGAACUUUUACAUGUCAUGAAAGAACUUGUAAGUCUUGACGUCUUCAACAACGAAUCUGAUUGCACCAAUGCAACCCAACACAGCAACAAUCGAAAACCAGGCGGCUAUUCCAACAUUCAGAAUCCGCAUGGAGAUGCCAACUGCUCUGUUUUUGGGCAUUUUCCCAGCUUUCAGGAAUGCUAAAACAGGGAAGAUGAAAUCCAGGGGAGUGAAUCCAAUGGCACCACAAAUGGACACAAAGUCUACAAAAAAUGGCAUUGCUGAAGCAACCAAUGUAAUGACAACAAUGUAGAUGGAGGUGAGGAUUAGUCGGAUAAGACCAUUUUUCAACAUGGAUGUUCUGUUGGAUGCCAAUCUUUCCUCAAAAUAUGCAUAAGUCGGCCUGCAAUAAAUCUAGAACAGAGGAAUUGUUUUAACACUUUGGGGUUAACUGCAUAUUUGUUUUUUGUUUUUUUUAGAAACUUGUUCUUGAAAGGCGUCUACCUGGUAACAUCCUGAUAUUUGAAUCACGGCAAAGAUAUUGGCCAUUAUAAUUGUCCAUUUUGGGACAGUCAAUGAAGCCACGAUGUAAGGCUGCACUUGUGAUCCGAAUGCCCAGUAUCCAGUGAAAGCUAGUUGCCAGUAAGUUAGAACAAUAACACUAUAUGCUGCUGAUACACCUUUGUACAUGUUUUUCACUGAAGGUUCCCUCACUGUAUUCUGGGAAUUAAAAAAUAAUAAACUAUCAAUUGUUAAGCACAGAAUGAAUCAAAUUUUUUUUAUCUUAAACCUGUAUUUCAGGAAGCAUUGCAUCUCCAAAUGAAAAGGCAAUUGCACCAAGAGCAUUGAAUGCUGCAAAUCUCUUAGCAGAUGAGCUUCCCUGCAAACUAUAACUGAUUGACUCCCUGUCAGUCAUUUUACCUACAAAGUUGUCCAAAAUUAGCACUUGGUUGUAGAGCUGAUAUGAAGAUCAUAUCUAAGAACAAAAUUAAGAAUGGAUAUCCCCAACUUUACCAUUAUAGAUUGUGACACCUAUGGUUGUGCAGGCAAAGCCGAUUGUGCUUAAAGUGCAUAACCCAUUGACCCAUCUUAAAGAAUGGAUGUCAGGGAGCUGAGAUAGGAAAAGUUCAAAAGCCCCAAAGAAAAUAAUAAAAUGUUGCAAGGUGAGUGUGCCGUGCUUGUGAUAGUGCUUGUAAACCGCCUGCAAAUGAUAGAGCACUAACUUAUUGCCUUAUUGAUAUGAUUCCUUGAAGGAAAUGAGGGCCAGAUUGACUGACCUUGAGGCUGCUUCCAGCAGCGAUUUGAAUUGCAAUGUUAUUUCCUAUUGAAGCCACCUGCUGAAAAAAUGCAAUAGACCAGUAACCCCAGAAUCCUUCAAGAACCAGGAAGAUGAAAAUGGUCAAGCAUAUAGCAUAACAGUGAUUUGGAAGAAUAAUACAAAGAAACUGACCAAAGAUGCUGUCUGCAAGAAGCCGGUAAGUGACAUGCUUCUUCCCAUUCCAUCUCCACAAAGAGGCAAUAAGCAAACUAGAAUACCACGUGGCUAGUGUUGCAGUCACCAAGCUACUUACACCUUGAAAUCAAUCGGGCAGCAAGUUUUGUUAUUCUUUUGAAGGGAAAAAAAAUUAUGAAGCUAUAGCUGUUUUUGGGUGUAUCUUAUAUAAACAGUGGUUAGUUGAAGACAAGGAAUAAGGGGAGAAGAUGAUAGCAGUUACCAAGAGGCCAACCGAGGGAAGCGAGGGCAAAAGGAAGAGGAGCAUAAGCGGCAGGGGUAGCAAUGGUGGUGGCAACAUGAAAAGCUGCGUGUUUCCAUGUCCCUUUCCCGGCAGCUUCAUCUUCACUUCCUACUUCGAGUUCUUGGUCCUCUUCUUUCUCAGACAUGGAUGGAAGUGGUGUGAACUUGUAUCAGGUUAUUUCCUUUCAGCUGCAACUGAGUUGGAAAAUUCUGUAGCUAUUUCUUUUUCCUUUUCGUCUUUUCGGAUUCGGACAUGAUUCGUUUGACUUUAUAGCUAAUGUUUUUAUUUUUGUCAAACAGGGUAGGUACUCAUUCAUUCAUCAAGUGGAUUGAGUAGUUUGUUUUGAUUUUUAUUUACCUUACGAGUGUAUGGACGAAAAGUUCCAUUGGUGAUUCUUGCAUAAAUUUACUUAUACAUGGCUAAUUCCACUCUUCAUGCCUCAAGUUAUUCACCCAAUCCCAAAUCUUUUUCUGAAAUUCAAGAGGCUUUGACUAAAAAUAUUAAGCCUGAAGUAUAAAUUUGGGUAAAAAAAAUUAGAACUAUUUAAAAUAUAGGGCCGGAAGUUAAGCUUGAACACUCAAGACUUGACUCUGUCUCGUUUUUUAAGUUUGUAAUAUUUAAUAUAUGUUAUUUGUUUAUAUAUUAUAUAAUUUAUAAUAUAUAAAAAUUAAAUCUAUAGUAUUAUAUAAUACUACCAUAAUGUAAAUAUUAAAAUUUAUAAGAUAACUAUAUAUGUUUAAUAAAUAAAAAAUAAAAAAUUAUUAAAUUAUUAAAUAUUAAAUAAUAUAAAUAUAUGUUUUUUUUAAUUUUUUUAAAAAAUAAUAUGAACAGGCCUAAAAUAACUCACCUUAGCUAUUUAGCAAUACAAGCGGACUUAGACAAAAUAAUUUAUUCAUAUUUCGAGUCGGACCGAACAAACAUAAAAUAUAUUAAUACUAUGCUUAUACCCAACCUGACCCACUAAUACUUUUACGUAAAAUAUCAAAUAGUUGUCGUUUGAUAUUUAAGUUAAUUCUUUUAAUUUUAUUUCUCACUUGAUAUUUUAAAAUUCUUUUAAGGCUUGAUAACUUAAUUUUUUUAAGUAAGGUUUUAAUUCAUUAAAUAUUACUUCAGUUACCUAAUUUCCUCUUAAAUUAUAAAACAUAUUGAAGAAAAAAAGAGAGAGUAAUUUAUUAAGUAUUUUUUUAAUAAUUGAAAAUUGUUACAAUUAUCAGAGAUUAACCCCAAAUUCAUGACUAGAUUUGUUCAUGAAUUAGGCUAUUUGUUUAGGCUUGAAGAUCCGUCCGGAGGUUUUGGGUAAAAAUAUUAAGCUCAAAAAAUGAGCUUGGAUAAACAAAUUAGGCCCGUUUAAAAUAUAGGUUGGGCUCGAACUUAAACAUUCAAGGCUUGAACCUGACCCGACCCUUUUUAAGUUUAUAAUAUUUUAUAUUAUGUUAUUUUUAUAUAUUAUGUAAUUUAGAACACAUUAAAAAAAUAAACCUAUACUAAAUUUAUAAUACAACUGUAAUAUAAAUAUUAAAAUAAUGUUAAAAUGACUAUGUAAAAAAUUUCAAUAAUUAAAAAAAAUAUAAAAUUAUUAAAUAUUCAAAUAAAAUAAAAAAAAUAUUUUAAAAAAUAAUAUGGGCAGGUUUGGACAAAAUUUGAAGCCCAGAUUUCGGGCCGGGCCGGACUUGAACAAAUAUAAAUUAUGUUAAUGUUAUAUUUAGACUUGACCCAAAUUCGACCCAACCCGACCCAUGAACAGCUCAAUUCAUGACUAUACAUUAAUGUUUUUGGUGAGUGAGUGAGAAAAAAAAAAUACUUUAGCAUUGAUUAGCUCUAGAAAAUUCUUCUUCCUUAACCUGACCGCUAAGGACUGGCAUUCUUUUUGCAAAAGCGGUUAGACCAGAAAUAGAUGCAGGCUUUGACACCUGCUCCGAUGCCCGCUCCUUCGCCCCCGCAUAUGGAAAGGAUCUGCUCUUGCCGGGAGAACUGGUACUGACCUAACUGGCCCUAUUCCUACAUGACAGGAAGACUUUCUAUGCCAGUCCUACUACCAAAGUACGGACCAGACAAGGAAUAUCUCUUACUCCAGUACUCAAAAAAAGACAAGUCACUCUAAAAAUUCUUAAAAAGGUCUUAAAAUAGCCCUUGCAUAGUUUACGAAUUCUGCUUAGUAGGGACCUAAACACAGGAAUGGUUUUUCUCAGAGUCAAACCACGCCUUAUGACGAAAGGGGGAGAAAGGACGGGUCACCUGCCGAUCUAUGAUCAAACAAAACUAUACCUGAAGAAUGGGAUACAGAUUGACCAGCACAAAAGCCAUCUCUAUCAAUCUACGCUCAUUGAUGAGACGGCGACAUAGAGAAGAAAGUAUACCGUUCCCCCCUUGUCACUUAACUUUUGUACUGCUCACAUUAAUGCGAGGCAUUCCUUCUCAACAGGAGGAUAUCGGUCUUCGGCUCCGACCAUCAUCCGAUUGAGGUAAUCUAUGGCCCUAUCUUUUUCUUCGUCACCCGAUUCCUCUCCUGAUUACUUUUCUUUAUUGCUGCCCAUAGUACUUCCAAAAAAGGGUACCCAUUAUGUCAAAUGACAAGGGCAAAGAAAGGCUAUGUGGUCCCGAAAACUCUUAGUCUUGAUAGGCCCCUUCCUUUCAAGAAUUCAGUUGAAGAUUAUUAUGAAGAGUUUUUGGCAAGACAAGAAAUCCACCAUAAGAGAUGAAGCAUAAGAUAAGACGACUCACAGGGGAGAAGAUAAAAUAUUCAGAGGAGAAUGAGACCCUCUAUCGGGAAUGGGCUUUUGAUGUCCCACGAUUCUGCUAGUUUAGAAACAAAGGAGAAGGGCAGGGGUCGCUAGAUCAGAAAAGCGAUAACUAUAAAUUCUCCCCAAGUAGGAUUUGAACCUACGACCAGUCAGUUAACAGCCGACCGCUCUACCACUGAGCUACUGAGGAACAACGGACUUAAGGAAGCCGACUCUCAUUCUUUGGACCAACCUAUGAAUGCAUUUUCUUCUAUCCCAACUUUUAGGGCUGUUAUCAUUCCAGUCCUUUCUGUCGAGCGAGUCAUUUUGGUUGCAGGCGGAUCACCAUUCGCCCUACCUUUCUUUCUAGGGCCUUUAUUGCUAUUGCCAUUGUCCCAGGAGGGGUAAUAGCUCAUAGCUCAAAUAUACAAUUACAAGAAAGUUGAGCUCUUAUAUACAUAAAGGGAUUGUUACACUAGGUAAUAGGUAGGCACAGAGAAUCGUCCCUUUCCUAUGCUAUCAAGAAUAAGGAUAAGGAUGAAGUGCAGGAUCUACUCUGAGAAAUCCAUCUAUGAGAGGGAACGAACAGAGUGACAGCCUACAUGAAUGAGUAGCAUGAUCAACUGCUCUUCAAAAAGAGGACUACUCAAGGAGUUUAGGGAUUGCAAGCUUGGGAUUACAAUGAGAUACCAGGACUUUUUAGGCCGUUCAUCGAGCCUCCACUUUCUUGUACUAGCUUUCUAAAGGCAAGCUACUUUUUAGAAUUCUCUAAUUAACUAAGCUCUUUCCUUAGAUGGAGUUCCCCCUAUGACAGAAAUGCUUGCCCCUUUAGCAUUGAUUUUUUAAAAAAAAUAUAAUACACUAAAUACACCAAAAAAAUACUAAAAUAAAAGUUUUCUAACACAUUAAAAAGUAUUUAUAUUAAAAAAACUAUCAUAAAUAUAAUAAAUGUUUUAUUAUAUUAAAAACACAAAUAAAUAUAAUAAAUAUUUUAUUGUAUUAAUAUAAAUGUUAAAUUUUUAUAUUUUGAGUUGGGUUAUUUAGUUAGGUAAGUUUUUUAGGUAUUGGACAAUGAGUUUGAUUGCUAUUGGAUUAGUGAUUUAAUAUAAAUAUAAAAUAUAUAUAAUUAUUAUUUAAAAUAUAUAAUUAAUAUAAUAUUGUUUCCAAUCCAUAUAAAAAACGAGCAUUAAAAUUUAUCCAAAUCCAUUUUUUAGAUAUCGUAUUUUAUUCAAACUCUCUCAUUUUUCGGAUGAACCUUCAAGCCUAGAUGGAUAAUCCAAUCCAUGAGCAAGUUUAAGAGAAAGUUAAGAAAAUUGAAUAUUCUUUAAUUUUCCUUGAUUUACUUAAUUUUUAUUAACCUCAAUUUGGAGAAAAAACUAAAAAAAGGAAAUUAAAGUUUCUUUUUUAGAUGUGAAUUAUCAUUUUUAUCCAAUUAAUUAAUCUUGUAAGAAUGUAUAAUUGUAAAAAGUAAUUUUUUUUUUACUUUUCACGGUUUAAUCAAAUAAAAAUUAUAAAAAUUUUGUCAGUUAAAUCUUAAUUUGAUUGGCAUACACUAAGUUGAAAUAUGUUAAAAUGUAUUGUCAGACUAAGGGGAAAACAAGUGUAUAUUGAGUGUUGUCAAAUUAUUAUUGGCAAAUGGCAAUGGCAGCUCUGCUAAACUACCACUUUAUACAGACUCAACAUGUGGAUUAUUUAAUAUAAUCAAACAUGAGGAUAAUAUGCUCCCAACAAAAGCUUGGAAUCCCAAAAGGUGAAUGUUGAGUUUCUCUUAGGCAAAUAAGGCUUUAAUGCCCAAACUAGUCCUAUGGUAAGUCAGCUGAACGGCAUAUUGAUAAUCUUACUUGUGGUUUUUGCAAUGUGUUAAUUACUCUUUAUUUUAUUUAUUUUAAUAUCAAUAUAAUUAUUUUUAUUCAAUAUUAAUAUUAAUAUGAAAUUUCUUAUUAUAUUUCUUUUAAAAUAUUUAUGUAUUUUUAUAUAUGUAUUUGGAUUUUUAGAAUUAGGAUAAAUUUGUAAAUUUUGAGAAUUAAUUUUUUAAAAAUAUACCUAAAUCGACAUAAUAUGUAAAAGUUGAGGACUAAAAUUGUUAUUAUACCAAUUUUUAACUUUCAUGUCAGUUUGCCAUUUGUGAUUUUAAUGAAUAUGACUAAAAUGACGGAACUAUAUAAUAUGUGUGCUUAAAUUACAAACAUUUUUAUUUUUGAUGCUUAAAAUAAUUUUUUUUUGAUAAUUAGAUGACUGUAUGUGUAAUUUACUCUAAAAAAAAUUAUUUUAAUUAUAACCAUUAUAUUAUCAACCUAAAGUUAUAGCAAUAUUGGAUAUGUACAUGAUACAUAAGUUUUCUUUUUUUUUUUCAAUAACAAAUUAUUAAUAUAAAAUAAUUAUAUUUAGUUUUUCAAUAAUGUUUUCUGUGAUAAUUAUUAUUACUUAAUUAGAUUUUAGAUUAAUAUUAUAUUAUACUUAAUUAGCAUUACCAUUAUAUACAAAAUAAAAUUAAGAUUUAAAACUAUAGACAGACGCUUCAAAAAGGCAUUUAAAGUUUUUCUCAUUUGAGUAUUUGAAUUUUUUUCGGUUAAAAGUGAUAUUUAAACCAUUAAUUUCGUUUAAUUUGAUCAUAAAAUAUGAUAUUAGUUUAUAAGAAUAUUACGCACGGUAUAUUUUUAUUGGAUGUCAUACAUUUUUUGAGUAAAAUGAAAUAAAAUCGAUAAUUUAAGUAUUUUUUUUACAAAAAAAUUUUAAAUACUUAAGUGAAAAAGAAUACAAUUUGGAGGUUAAUCUUGUAGUUAAGCUAUAAUUUUACCUAUUAUUUUGUAUGAAUUAGAUAAAGAGUAUAGAAAACAUAUGAAGAACCUACAUGAUUUUUACCAUAUAAUAAUUUUUAUUACAUUUUAUAAAUUUGAGGUCUAAGAUGAUAACAUUGAAAUUUAUUAGAUUAGAAUAGUUCACUCAUGUUACGCGUUUGGUUGAUUAUUUGUUUGUGUUAAAUUAUAGAGUAAAAAUUUAAAAACUAAAAUAUAGUCUAAACAAAGUUUUCAGAACUAAAUUGAUGGUCGAACUGUUCAAGCUAUUGGUUCAUAUGGUUGGAAUAAAGAAAUCAUUAAGAAAUCAUCAAAAUUAAAAAAAAAUAUUUAAAAAUAAAAACCAGUUCAACUAGUUUCUUAAUUUGGUUCAAUCGGUUUGUGCUAGCUCGUGGAUCAACUAGUCUGAUGCCUCUCUCCGAAUCAAUACUCCGAAUAGCUCCUAGUCAAAUUGGUCAGUUCGAUUCAAACAACCAUGACUCUAAGUAGGGAUGGUAAAACUUGAACCCCCGAUGGAUUCUAAACCGAUCUGCUCCCAAUAGAGCAAACUUUUUCUUUUGAAAAGUGGAUGCAGCUCGGGAUGAAUUUUUUCUUUUGGGUAAUGGGUAUACAACGAUUAUGGUAAUUGUUUGCCCACCCGACUCGUUUCAAUAUAUGAAAUACUAUUUACAUUGUUCAAUUUUAAUUGUAAAAUCAUUUGUUUUAUCACUUAUUCUCUAUAUCAACUUUUUUCGAAUAAAUGUUAUCAUUAAAUUCAAAUAUAUAUUUUAUCAUUAUAAUAUUAAAAAAAAUCAUAUAAUUUAAUUUUGUAUCAUUUAUAUCGCGAAUAAAAAAUUUAAUUACCGCUACAAACAAAUUUUAGCUGUUUUAUUCACAUAUUUAAGUCAUUAAUAAUUACAAUAGUGGCGUAUUUAAGAGGCUAGCAGGAGGGAAACUUAUUCAUUUAGGCUCUUUAAAAUCUUAAAUUAAUAAAAAUAAAAUUACAUUUUACCCUCCUAAAAAUGAUAAAAAUUUAAUUUAAUAUUUUAAAAAUUAUAAAAAUUAAAAUUAUUAAAAAUUAAAAUUUAAUUUUAACUCCCAAAAUAAAUUUUCUAACUUCAUUCUUUAAACUAUACAAAAAAUAUAAAUUAUGGAUAUAUACAUAUAUUUAUGUGUGUAUAUGAACACAUGCACUACAUGUAAUUACUUGCACGAAGAUGACUGAUUACAAUUACUUUAAUUAAAGAUGUUACAAAAAUAAAAGGUUAAAUUCUGCUAUUAGACCAUGUAAUUUGUUUAAAUUGUGUAUUUAGUCUUUGUACUUUAAUUUGAUCAAUUUCAACCUUUGUACUUUGUACUUUUCGAAUUUUGAAAUUUUAGUCUUAUCCAAUGAUAGCAGUUAAUUUUGUUUGGUUAGAUUUAUUAUGCGUAAAGUUAUAAAUUUAGUUAACGUUCGUCAAUUGGAUCAUUCUUAUUGACUACAUUUUUUGAAUUUAAAAAAUUUAAGCUUAAUACAAACGACAGUCGUUAAAUCUAUUAACCAAUUUUUUGUGAGUAAUAUGUGAAAAUAAUAAGCGGACGUAGCAUUACACGUUUGAUAAUAUGUUUAACACACCAAAUUUUAAAAACAACCAAACUUAAUGAAUUUUAAUAGUUAUCAUUUAGUUAGGACUAAAAUUUUCAAAUUCUAAAAGUAUAGGGACUGAAAAUAACUAAAUUAAAGUACAUGUACUAAAUCCGUAACUUACACAAAGUACAAGGUCUAAUAGCAUAAUUUAACCUAAAUAAAAUUAGUAAAAGAAAAAAAAAACAGUAAAAUCAAAGUUUGGAGUAAUCUAUAAUCUUAAGUUAAAAAAAGAAAAUAUACUUUCUAAAUUAAGAAGUGUUUAUAAGCAUUUUUAAAUCUUUUUUAUAUUUUUAAAGGUGGAAUCUAAGUUGGUUGUUGCUGUUUAUUUUAGAUAGAAUUAAAUUACUAUUUGGGUUUUGAUUUUUUUUGAAAAUAUGGGAAUAAUUGUCGAGUUUAUGGAUUAGUUUGGGAAAAAAAAUUCAAUCCUUAAUACGGGGAUUCUUGCCUAUCCAGAUCCUAAUGUAGUCACAAUUGCCAAGCUCAAACCUAAUUGGAACAAAAAAAGUUUAAACCCCAAUAUAAGAAAGUUUCCGGCGGAUUUAACCCUUUUAAAUAUAGUAAUACACUAUUUUUGUUAAAUUAUAAAAAUAAUAUAUUAACUAUUAUUUUUUAAUGGGUAAACUACAUCAUUAAUCACUAAAUUAUGAGUAAGUUUUCGUUUUGAUCACUUAACUAAAAAAGUUAUAGUUAGAUCACUAAAGUUUUUGAAAUUAUUUUUUUAAGUCACUCAACUAUUAAGUGACACUUUUUUAGUUGGUAUAAUAAUUUUAAUCCCCUUCUUUUAUAUUUUCUGUCAAAUUGACCUUGAUUUUAUAUAAAAAUUAUAAAAAAAUAGAAAAUUCUAUAUAAAAAUUCCAGAAAAAUAAAAUCUAAAAAUGUAUGGGAAAUAAAAAAAAUCAUUUAAUAGAAUUCCUAACAAAUUAAAAAACCCAAAACAAAAAAUUAAAUCACUAUAUGCCUCAGUAUUUCUCGAAAUCAAAUUAGUAAUAUUUUCAAGUUAAAUUCCAUGCCCUUGAAGAAUGACAGAAUUAAUAUUAUAGAGAUUUGUGAAAUUGACUUUGAUUCUAUUUUUUAACUAAAAAAUAUAAAAAUUACGGUAAUUUUUUCUUUUUCAAACUUAAUUCAGAUUUCUAAUUUAUUUAAAUUAUCUUUCAAAACUCAAAUUGUAAAAAAAAAAAAAAUUGUAUUCUGAAUUCUUUUCUUUCUUAUUAUGAAAAAUCAUGCCAAGAAACAAAAGAGGUUAAAUUAAUGAUAAUUUUGCUUAAUGUUUUUUUUUCUAUGCCUUUUAAAGAAUGGGCUGGAUAUCUCUAUAUAGAUAAUAGAGAGAGAAAUUUUGGAGGGUAUAAAAAUAAUCCCUCAUUUUUUCUCAAUUUAUCUAUUUUAUCUAUUUUAUCUACUUUUAUUUUUUUUUUGGUAAACUGUCAAAAUAGUCACUUUUGUUUCUCUCAGGUUACAUUUUAGUCACUUAUGUUUGAAAUGUUACGUUUUAGUCACGUUAUCGUGUUGUAACAUUUUAGUUACUGAGUGUUAAUUGCCGUUAAUAGUGUAAUCGUAAGUUGACAUGGCACGUUAAAUCAUCAUUUCAAACAAAAAAUUUAGUUUAAAUUAUACAAUUGCUCCCUUUUUUUUUUUCUUUUUGAGCAAGUUAAUUUUUUUCUUUUACGUUAAAAGAGGUGGAGAAGGGAAGAAAAUAGAGGGAGAAGUAGAAGAGAAUGGAAAAUAGAGAAAAAAAAAGAGAGAGGAAAAGUUCAAAAAAAAAGAACCAAAAAAAUUGCUCAAAACAAAAAAAAUAUAGGGACCAAUUGUAUAAUUUAACCUAAAAUUUUUGCUUCAAAUGAUGAUUUAACGUGCCACAUCAGCUUACGAUUACACUGUUAAUGACAAUUAAUGGCUCAAUGACUAAAAUAUUACAACAUGUUAACUUAAGUAACUAAAACUUAACAUUUCAAACAUAAAUGACUAAAAUAUAAUUCGAGGGAAGCAAAAGUGACUAUUUAGGCAGUUUACCCUUUUUUAUUUUAGAUUUUAGUAUUUUUAAAAAGAUUUUCAAUUUUUUUUAUCGAUUUAUAUAUAGUCAACAUCAAAUUGACAAAAAGUUAUAAAAAAAUAAAGACUAAAAUUAUUAUUAUACCAACUAAAAAAAUUCACUUAACAGUCAUGUGAUCAAAUAAAACAAUUUCGAAAAUUUUAGUGACCAAAUUGUAACUUUUUUCAAUUAAAUAACCAAAACUAAAACUUACCCGUAGUUUAAUGACUAACUAUGAAUUUACCCUUUUUUAUAUAUAUUAUUUUAUUAAUGAAGCCUUGGAAGGUGUAUAUCAUUAUUCAAGGGCAGCGUGACCUACUUGGGUCCCACGGUCACUGUCCUCCAGACCCAAGUUAGCGUUCCGACAUAAGCAUCUCGGCAGUCAAAGCCACCGCUUAUCAUGAGGUACGUGGUAAGAUUUUAAGGGCGAAAAUGGGUAUACGUGGGGAAAUAUGAUUGGUUGGACCCAACAACGGCUUAAUCGGAUUCUGCUCUCGUGUACCGGGCUGGGCCCCACUUUUGAUAAGAAAGGCAAAAAGUUAAAACGCUCCAAAGCAAAGUAAAAAAAGCAUUAAGUUUACUACGCAUUUCAGUUUUUUACCCUUUCUUACUCUCUUUUUUUAGUAUUAAUAAAUAUAUUUCUUAAUUUUUAAAUAAUUUAAUAAUACAUUAAAUGUAACAAAGGGUGGUAAAAAUAUAAUGAAGUAUUUGCCCCUUAUAUUAAAAAAAUAGAUAAAUUAAUAUUUAAUUAUACAUUGGAUCAAUGAGUAAACUAAUUUUUUUUGCUAAAAAUUUCAUUAAUUUUUAAUUUUAAAAACUGGUAUAGCUGACAAAAUAACUAGAUAAUGAAAUGUGGUGCAACACAUGUACCACAUGUUGACGUACAAAAGCUAUUUUUUAACAGUAGAAAUAGAUGAAUUUUUUAACUGAAUGAUCAACUAACUCUUUGAUCUAACGUACAGAGAUUAAUUUGCCCAUUUCUGAUAGAAAAAAAAUAUUAAAAAUAGUCCUGUUAUAUUAAAAUCCUCAAUUAUGAACACAUAUGUAUAAUGUAUAAUACUAUUAUAAAGUGUGAUACAAUAUUAAGUGAGCAAUUAUGUUAUAAGUGUCAUAAGUAUUAAAGUGUCAUACCAUAAGUUGUAUUUAUAAUUUGAUGAGGGGCUAAAUUAUAAAUACCAAAAACUGAUUUAAUAACUAGUUAUUUAAAAAGGGGCAGUGGUCCCUAAAAAGUAUGUAUCUCGUAUUUCUUUUCCAUCCCCAUCAAAGAGAGUUAUACUAAGAGAAAAACUAUUUUCUUGGAGCAAUCUCCAAUAAUUGAUUUAGGUACGCUUCCGCAUAUAAUUUUAUUUUUAAUGAUCUCACAUGAUAGAUUUUGAUAUGUUAAGUUUUAUACCACAAAAAAUUCAACUUUUAAUACUUUUACCACCAAAGAAUACAAAUUGGACCUUGGUUGACCUAAAUUUGAGUUAAAAGUUAGAAGUAGGAGUGAGCAAAAUCUGAUUCAAUUCGAAAAACUCGAUAAAAAAUUCAAAUUUUGAAUUAAGUAGUUCGAGUUAUAUGAGUUAAUCAAGUUAUUCGGAUCAACUCGAAGAAAAAAUUAAUAUUUUUGGUUUAGCUCGAAUAUAAAUUACAGAAUUCGAGUUUUUCGAAAAUCCGAAUAAGAAAAGACAGAACUACGUUGUUUUGAUAAAUAUUUACUUUUUUAAAAGUUAAAAGUCAAAACCAUUAAGUUAAAAUACAAAACCAUAAUAUUAUUUUUUAUACUUCAUCUACUAGUUAAAUAAUCGGUCUAUGUAAUUAUAACAUUGAGUAUAAAUAAUAGGAUUCGUUAACUCGAUUUGAAAUUUUGACUCGAUUCGAUAAAAAAUCAAAUUGAGUUUGGUUGCUAAAAUAUGAUUAUUCAACUUGACUAACUUAAAAUUUUUUUAUUCGAUUCAACUAAACUCGAUCGAAUACUCACCCCUAAUUUUUUAUUUAAUAAUAUGUAUGAAAUCCACCCUGGGUGGAUUCUAAUGUAAUAGUUAAGCUAUCAGUAUGUAUGUGAAUUCCAAAAGAGUCAGAGUGGACGACGAAUACGCUAUGCAUCAUUUUUGUUUUGUUUUUCAACAUGAAAAAUGCUAAAAAAAGGAGUAAUUCAUAUUUAGCAUUCUUCAACUAUACAAUGAGAAAAUGCAUUAACAUUUGUAGUAAUUUUAAAGAUAAUCGGUUUCUAAAAAUGAUGGAAUUGAAUUAGGUUAAUAAUAAUAGACUAAAUCUAUGACACAAAAAAUGACAAAUUUCAUCGUCCAUGACAAGAAGAAUUACAAUAAAGUAAAUAGUAAAAAGAAUAAGAAAAAGAGCAGAGGAUUGAAAAGUAAGUAUCAAUGUCCCCUCCAACUCUUGACCAGUUCCUCAACAACUCUGCAAUUUACAGUAGUACAAGACAAAGUAUAAGGAAACCUCAAAGCAUGUCUGGUUUCUGGAACAGAUUGAUAAUUAAAAACAACUGGAGCUGAAAUGGUGUUAAGCAGAAAUGGCAGAAGGAAAAGAAUGAACCCAAAUCAAGGUGUUUUGUUUGGGUCCCACCUUCAAAUCUGUGACAAAGACGGCAGUUUCGUUGCUUCAUCUUCCCCCUUUUUCUUAUUUAUUUAUUUAAAUCUCUCUUCCUAUUGAUUUUUUUGUUUUUGUAAUAUUAUAAUAAUAAUAUAGUAGAAAAGAUGGGAGCUUUGUUUGUAUUAUGGCCGUUUGUGAGUUUCUCUCCUCUCAAAGCCAAAAACAAAGUCUUCUCUUUCACACCUUUCAAUCUCAGAAAAUAGAAAAAGUAAAACGUGGGGAGAAGAAUUUAGGGUUUUGACAACACCAAGUCCAACAAGGUCUGUUUUUUUUUCCUUUCUUUUUUUGGGGGCACUUUUUCCCUUUAUUUUUCUCUUAAUGAGAGUGUUGUUUCUGCUUUGAUCCUUGUUGAGUCUCUGGGUGAUCUGGAAGUUGAAUUUUCGCUGAUUGGUCUUUCUUUUCUUUAACCUUUUUGGUUUAAAGAUCUAAUGUUUUAGUGAACUUUGUUGAUUUUUUUUUGUUUAGCUAAUCUGGGUUUGCAGAAUUGGUGGUAAUAUGGAGGAGGUUGAGGAAGCUAACAAGGCAGCAGUGCAGAGUUGCCAUAGAGUAUUGAGUCUUUUGUCCCAGCCUCAAGAUCAAGUUCACUACAGGAAUUUAAUGGCUGAAACAGGGGAGGCUGUUUUUAAGUUCAAGAGAGUAGUUUCUCUUUUAAACUCUAGUUUGGGACAUGCAAGAGUGAGGAAACUGAGGAAAUUACAAACCCCUUUUCCUCAAAGCAUCUUUUUGGAUAAUCAACUCCAUAACCCAACAGAUUAUCCAUCCAAGGAUUUGCAGCUCGGUUACCCUCAAGAACUUAGUUCACAUGCUAAGAGCUCUCUCUAUUUGGGAACCCCAUGUUUGGAACUGAGUUCGAAUGGUAAAAACCCUCUUCCACUCGCCCAACAACCACCUCCUCCUGCCCACUAUCAUUUCCUCCACCAACAAAGGCUACAGCUCCAACAGCAUCAAGCUGAAAUGUUGUCUAGGAAGAGUAAUAGUGGGAUUAACUUCAACUUUGAUAGCUCUAGCUGCACACCUACCAUGUCAUCAACUAGGUCUUUCAUUUCUUCUCUGAGUAUAGAUGGUAGUGUAGCUAACAUGGAUAGUGGGAAUGCCUUCCAUUUAAUCGGCGCACCUCGAUCCUCGGAUCAGGUUUCCCAACACAAAAAGAAGUGUUCUGGUAAGGGAGAAGAUGGGAGUGUCAAAUGUGGAAGUAGUGGGAAAUGCCACUGCUCAAAAAAGAGGUUGGAUUCUCUUCUUUUUCCACAAUUUCACAUCUUUAUAGAAUUAUGCUUUCCCUUUUAUGGAGAGUGAAGGGAUGUGAUCUGGACUGUUGAGUUUUUACCUUAAAUUGGUUGCAUUGUAUUGACAGGAAACAUAGGGUAAAGAGAUCAAUCAAGGUUCCUGCUAUCAGUAACAAGCUUGCUGAUAUUCCUCCUGAUGAUUAUUCAUGGAGGAAAUAUGGGCAGAAGCCAAUCAAGGGUUCUCCUCAUCCCAGGUAAUAUCAUUAUCAUCUUAUCAGACUGCUAUCUCAUUUAUAUGAAUUUUGGUGUUGCCCUGCUGGGUUUUGCUUGUAUGCAUGGAUGAACUUUUAGAUUGAAAAUGACUAGUAAUGGAAAGUCAUUAAACUCCCUGGUCGUAGUGUCUGCGAUAUAUGAUUAUCAGAUUAUCUUUUCCAUUAGGGGACUUGAAAUAUAGUGUUUUAAGCUUUUGAUUCUCAUCUGAUUUUGACUCCCACCAGGACUAAGAUGAAUAGAGGGAUGCAUUUAAGUCUUCAGUUUUAUAAUGUUGGACCGAGCUGUAAAAUUUUAUGUGCCGUUGGUGGAGUCUGUCGUAUAAAAUCGACUUAGGUGGUCUUUUGUUUAUAAACUGUGUAGGGGAUAUUAUAAAUGUAGCAGUAUGAGAGGUUGCCCUGCGAGGAAACAUGUGGAGAGGUGCUUGGAAGAGCCGGCUAUGCUUAUUGUUACGUAUGAAAGUGAGCACAACCAUCCAAAGUUACCGUCACAAGCAACGACAUAAUCUCAGUGGAAACAUUGCUAAAGAAUUCGUCAAGUCUUUCAAUGUUCAAUCUGGUCAUGUACAUAUUCUGCAUGGUUCAAGCAUGGGAUAAAUAGGAACAGUUUCUUUCUUCUUUUUGAGGGGCUUUGGAAGGUUGGCUUUCCAAGCCUUUUCUAAAAAUUUGGCAGCCGACAUUAAAAGCCUAGUGCUGGACCAAAACGAGAUUGUGGAAUUAGGUUUAAAUUGUAAAGAACUGUUCCAUCUUCCAUGACAAUGAAAAGCUUGAAAGGGGUUGAACUUUUUGAAUUAAAUGAAAUGGCAUUAGUGCUGCCCAAGAUGCUGUAAUUGGUAUACAUUUUAAUUUUUUAUGAACAAAAGGGGUUGUGGGGCUGCCUUUCUUUUGUGUGCAACAUGGCAUGAGAUGGAAGUUUGGCUGCUGCUUGCAUGUCUACGCGUGAAUACGUUUGGAACCAAACCAAAAUUGUCGAAAAUUUGUCCAAGCUACCAAGUCUUGGUCAUAAUUUUUCAAGUUUCUUUUCACUUUUCGGGUUAUAUGUGUCAUCUCCUCAGAACUUUAAAGGCCAACAAAGGAUUUGCAGUCUUGUACAUACAGCUGGAAACUUCUGAAUAAUGACAUAACUAGGGUAUACCUACCAAACUGAUUGCGUUCAAAGAUUUGUCUGAGUUAAUAAUCUCCAAUUAUAUAACAUGUUAUUACUGGAAGUGAAACUCUAGUGAGCCUUGCAACAAGGCAUGUGAACUGCGUAGACUAAACUAACAUGGGCAACAUGACUCGACAACACAUUGCAACUGUAUUCCCUCUUCCAUUAGCAAAAGGCUGACCUUUUUCCUAAACUAGUUUGAAUGGAUUAGCUGUGGCAUUAUGGUAGAAAUUUCGGUACUGUAGUCCUACAGAGACUUUUUAUGAACAAAAUCAUGAGCUAAACCAAACAAUACGCAAGAAAAAAGGAAUGAUGAUAAUGAGAUUAAAACUUGGAGGUUGAAUUUUGGUUAAAAAGUUGGUGCUUCAAACAACUAUUAAUGCAACAAGUACAACCUUAGAUGAUAAGGAAGAAGAGUUGAAAAAGUAAAAUGAAUUGAGACGAGCCAACAAUUUGUUAGUUGUAGACUAGAUGAUGUCCAAUCAGAAGAUAAGAGUCACAUCUGUGAAACCAUAAAACCCAUAAUAUGCCACAAGGAAUGCGUUACGAGGAUUGGUUUCAGGACAGGGCAAGUAGGCUGGCUUUCCUUGUCUUGUGUGGGUAAGAAAUACAAAAGAUUAACUCAGCAAUUUAACAUUUGUUCAAACUGCAAUGAGUUUGUGAUUGUUAGGGCUACCUGAAAAUUCCAAUUUUUAUUAUAAUAAAAAUAAAAUCGUAACAUGGAUAGAAAGGUAGUAUUCAUAGUUACACUACAUAAUUAAAGAUAAAAACUGGGGACUUUUGUUCUUUCAAGUGAAACCCUACACAAGGGAUAACUUUUUACCUUAAAAUUUAGGAAAAUGUAAUGAAUCUGAUUAUGAUUGAAUAUAGGUUGGGUUUGCUUAUCCAAUAUAUAAAAUAAUACAAUAUAAGGUGGGUUUUUACUUAACAUGUCAGUUACGUGGAGAAUGGGGAUAAACAAGAUCGGACAGUUGAGAACUGAGCCAAAAAACUUGAGCCUAAUUGUUUCAUCAAAGCCAGGCCAGACCCAUUGAUCAAAAUUCAAUAACAUAAACCUUAAUUUUUUUAGUAAUAGUUCAGAAUAAGGGGAAAUAGGAAAGAAAUGCAAAGCUUGACAGAGUCCUUUUCUAAAUUGAAUAGUCAAAAGAGAAGCAUCAACAUUAGACAUAUUGAUCAAAAUUCAAUAACAAAACAACAUUCCAACAAGACCAAGAAUAAAGACACAUGCAUAAUCUCUUUCAUUUGAGUGGAAUAAACCUGGAUGAAUGGGUGGCACCAAUACCCGGUCUUCCGUGCUUUACUGGCUUGUAGGAGAUUGAGAAUUCAGCCAAAUAGUGGCUAAUCAUUUCUGGCUUGAUUUCCACUUGAUUGAAGGUCUUUCCAUUGUAAACACCGAUAAUACUACCAAUCAUUUCAGGAACUAUAAUCAUGUUGCGGAGGUGUGUCCUAACUGGCUCGGGUUUCUCACCAGGUGGCGCCUCACGUUUCUAUUUCAAGACACCCGCAAAACAUUCUCAGUUUAUGGUGCUAUCUAUAGUUACUUUAUAGUAAUCAUUAACAUGGAAUAAAAUGGUUCAGGGGAAAUUUAUUAUAAAUCAACAAAUCAGUUAAAUAUCAUAAUGAAUAAUCACGCUAUCUACUUCACUGGCAAUAUUUGCAACAGCCACAAAUCUCACGUAACAGAGAGAUCCCAGAUGAAACUACACAAUGGCUAAACAAGGGCAAAGGAGAAAGGAAGAUAAUCAUGAAAUGAUCAAGCUAUUACAGCCAUGAAAUCAUAAGAUUCCCACAAUGUUGCUUGUGAAACAGAUAACUUUAUUAUGUGCACAAAUCAAGAGAACCAACAUAUUGUAAAAAAAAACAACUGUAUUGUAAAAAAAAUAUGGUAAACGUCAUCAAAUGAAGAGGAGCAAUAUAAACAAAGUUAAGUUCAAAAAAUUCUGAGAACAAUAUAGUACUGGCUAUCGAAUCUAGGAAGCAUUUUCCUUAUAAAACUGUAGAUGAUAAUCAAUACCAUUUAUCUAUAUCUAGUUAAUCACAUUAAAGUACCAUACACAACCAACUACAACAAUAUAUUACAGAAAAAGAUUAGGAGAGUAAUCCAAAACCCUAUGCAUUUUAAGAAAGUAAUCAUAUGAAAUGCAAAUCCAAGCAUUAAAAAACAAGAAAAGAAAAAAAAAUUAAAGUAUUAAUUAGGUCCUCACAUAGUCGAAAAAGAAGGGAAAUAGAAUACUUACAGCCUUGCGUAAUUUUUUUUAUCAGAGCCAUUGGCUUCCUCUUUAAACCUCUCUGAAACCUAAAAAAGUAGAAACGAAACUAUCUAAUUUUCGAAAUUAAAAAAAGGCAUAAAAACAAUCUUGAAGAAUUAAAAAGUAAAAAAGAAGAUCGAGUAGGGAAAAUAGCGAGAGCUAACCUUCGGCGUGCACGGGCGGGAAAGAGCUUGACGAGUUCAUCAGUGGACAUAUCCAAGAGAGCAUCGAGAUCGACACCUCUGAAACUGAACUUCUUGAACGUUCUCUUCUUCGGUACACCUGGUGCGGCGACAUCGGCAUCCACGUCCGCCUAAACGAAAUGAACCAAAAAAAAAAAAACUUAGAAAAAACACUAUUGUUAAGAAAAUAUUUGGAUCCCGAGAAACUUGAAGAGAAGGAUCUAGAAAAUGAAGCAACAUUGAAAGAAAAGAGAGAUGAGUGAAGUUAGCAACGAUGGCGAGACCAUGGCUAGGAGAUGAAGUAAACAGCACCAAAAGCUCGAAGCCGCGGGAGAGUGAGCAAGAGAGUGCGUUUUCUAGGGUUAAGAUAUUGCGGGGCAAGAAUUUAUAGGUAACCGAAAUGGAAACGGGCAUUUUACUCUUCCGACCCGGAUUGGACACCAAUUGACUUGGUCCAUUGAACUUACUUAGUAGGUGCUAUUUUUUCACUCUCUUAUAAUCGGAUCCAUCAUGGUAUUGGUCUAGAAAAGGUUGAAUCCAUUAAUUUGUAAGCGAAUAUGAUGAAAUAAUUUAUUUGAUCGAAUUGUAUGAAUCAAUCAAAUAAAAAAUCGAUAACUUAAUCGAUUCAAUAACCCAUCCGAUUAAAAAUAAUAUAUAAAAAUUAUAUAUUUUGAGAUUAAUAGCUGAAUUAAAAAGUGGAAUGAUGAUCCAACUGCAUUGAUACCAUAAUUUAAAUCAUACAAAAUACUCCAUCUGCAUUAACUGAAUUUUGUGAACUUUGGAAACUUUAUCUCAAAGUUGCAGCUGCAAUUGCUCUUUGCUUUUUCUUUUCUUAAAAAUCCCUGUUUGGAGUUCCCAUUAAGCCAAUACACUCUACUGACACUAGCAGAUUAUUUGAAACAAUUAAAGGGAAAUAUUGUGGUUUUCGGUUUCCUAGUCUAAACUUGGCUUUAGCUAGUAACAAUAAAUUUACAUAUAAAGCUUCAUCAUCAUCAUCAUCCAACAAGGUAUGAGAAUUUAGACAUGUUCAGCCUGCAAUUUCUGUUUUGUGAACAUUCAUAUGUGGGAAACUACAUUUGCCAUUCUUUCAACUUUCUGGAUGGUAUACUUCAGUUCCUGUUGGAUAUUUACUCUUGAAGGUGAUAGUACAAUGUCUUUCCAUAUCGAACCGGUUUGACAAGCGGGGUUAGGAUACCUGUAAAGUUCGUAUAUGGAAUCCGCGUUUUCGUUCAGCCUGCCUAUCCUCUUUAAACACCCGAUCUCGUCGGGAUCCACUAGUAAUGUCCUGUCUUUCUCUUUCCAUCCUAUCAACUUCACAUACAUUGUUUAAGUCAAUACUUCAUCAAGUAAUCAUGCUAACAAAUGAAGGUGGGAGUGAUAGUGAAAUUUCACCUUAGGUGGACCUUCCAAGGCGUUGGUGCUAUAUAGCCUAGCGUUGUCAACCAGUUGGCAAUAUGUUGGAAAUGCAUUUGCAAAUCUCUUGUGGGAUUUCAAUUGUGAAUUCACUCUUACGGCUCGUCUACACAUUAUAGCUCUCCUGAAUUUAUUAGAUUCCUUCAUAGAAUCAGUAUCUCAGGGUAAAAGGGAAAUAAAAUAUUCUUACUAGGCAUAGUUUUGUUUCAGUGUGUGCCUUACCUUAUGCCUCUAAUAACUGCUAAAUAAGCUUCACAAACAACCCCAACCAGCUCUAUUCUGUAUGGCUUCCUCCUUUUGCCUCCUUCUGGAACUUGAUCUUCUUCUUCGAUUUGUUCCCAGUAGUUCUCAGUUAUGGUCCCAUCGGGGUUUUUCUUGUAACCAGCGCCCAUACGAUACCGGCGGCGAUGGACACAUCUGGCCAUAGUUAUUGUCUGUAAAACAAAUGGUAUCCAGGACAGUGUUCCAUCCAUGAUCACAUCCCGCCCUUCGUUCAGUGCUGUCACUAGAAGGGACGAUGCUGCAUCUGUAGAUGAUUGGUGCACCUGUUUCGAUUAAUUAAGCCUCCAUCUUAAGUGCCGAUAAGAAACAUGCAUAGAUGCCAUUCAAUAUAACCUAUUAAGUUAUGUUGUUAUUGUAUAGUGAAACCGGUUUCAGUCAUUAAGCUAUCCCAUUGAACACAAAUGUCCUUCUAUUCGCCUACUACCAUGCAGCUGAGCGAGACAAGGUGAAUGGUAUGAUAUGAUUGAUAGAAUUUUGGUGUGCUAAAGUGAAGGACAUGGUGGACUGGAUGUGGGAUGAGACAGAAAAAUCAAUACUUACUAAUUCGGCCGUAUGGACCAUGUCUGAAUGACCUCGUUUGCUGAGGGCUCUGUAGAUAACAUCUGAUUCUUUGAAUGCAUCUGCCUCAAUCACAACUGCAUUCCCUGCUGCUCCUGCCCAGAAUGGUCUGUUCAUAUGUUAUGCAAAACGCUUUAUAUUAGUGCUUUUAAAUAUUGCUCUUGUUUUUAAUAUACAGUGUUUAAAUGCUGUAGGAAGAAAUAAAGAUAUCUGUAACUAAACAGUGGUUAAGCUCCAGGUUUUAUUGCAUUCUGAUUCUUCCUAAAACAUAAGUCGAACAAUUACAUUUAAGUUCAUCUUGGUCUUAAGUUUUUUUUUUUUUUUUGGGUAAAAAAAGGGCUUACUCUUUGAGAAUGUCCUUAAGCACAGUGCUCUUCCCAGCUCCCAUCCCACCUCCCAUGAGGAGCAGCACUGGACUUCUGUCACUGUGAGCCACUGGAGCCAUCACCUCUGUACAUUGAGAAUCAUCUGUUGAUGUAAGCCCCAUUGCUUUCAUUUCUUCCACCAAUGUAGUGAAAACUCUAGCCACCUUUAGAUUUUUUGUCACCCUCUCAAAUCUCUGCUCCCUAUAUUAGAAAAGCAUGAUUUAUUCUCCUGUAGGAAUUAGCAUCAAAUGUUGGUAUGUAUACGGUAUGAAUAUGCUCAGUUUGUUUUCUUAUAUGCAGAGGCAUGUCCACAUGUUCGAACAUAGGUGCUUCAGCUUAUACAAGGAUGGUAAGAGACUAUAUCUGGGCUGGUUUAAGAUCUUAAUUCCAGUUUCUUGUAAUAGUUGGAUGCAUAUUCAAAAUGGUCCAUCUCAUUUCAAUAUUUCAUAUUUUUAAAAUGAUAUGAAAACAAUGAAUAGGUAAUGUAAUAAUCAAUGCCCAACCUAGUUGCUGCCAUGAAAAUCUGCUUGAGCUUUCUCUUGGGUUCAGCAUCAGUACUUAAAACCUGAAACCAUAUAGCAAAAAAAAAAAAAAAAAAGCGUUCACUUUCUACAUGUUUCUAUCAGAAUACAGAAAAUAUAAAGAAAGAAUGAAAAGAGAAAUGAAUCUAACAUACAUAUACAUAUAUUUUAGUACCUGGGUGAUCAUAAGAUCUGCAUGGCACCAAUGAAAUGCAAAAUAACUAAGAAUGCAUCUCUCAAACUCUUCCACAAGCUUAACAAAGAGAGAAUCCACAUCCGGCUCAUUGGAGAAGAAUGUAUAUAUAUCAUCUUCACAACCUUCUAAUUUCCUGAUAUAUUCGGCAGAUAACUUGCAGAGCAAAGGGCAUUCUCUUCUAUCUUUAAAUCCCAUCUGCCUAGCUGAAAUACAUAGGAUAGGAGAAACAAAAUCAAGGGUCGGACUCGAAAUACGUGAAGGAGAAUCCAUGGAGGAUCAUAUAAAUUUAAAAAUAUAUAUAUUUACCUACGUAGUGAGGGAAGCGUUCGACCUUAUCAAUGCGGCCGCCGCCUUUGUCUCUGGAUCGUAGGCGUGGGAUGAUCUUUUCAUCCCUUAGUUUCCAUAGAUGAAACCGCAACGCUGCUGCAAUGAUGAUGCCUAUAGAAGAGGCAACCAUGAUUUGUGUGAAUGUGGGUUCGCUGAGAUUAUCUGAACAACACAAAUAGAUAUAUAUUAAUUUAUAUAUAGAUGCAUAAAUCACGUAAAAGGGCUUGUAAAAUGAUUUGUGACUUACCUUUAUGCAUGUUUUAUAAUUCCAAAAACUAGAAUUUUCUUCGAGGCUUGAUGAUGAUGAUGAUGAUGAUGAUGAUGAUGAGAACCCCAAUGCCAGAAGAAAAAUUGCCAUUAAUCUUGGUUGAACCUGCACAUUUUUAUCCUUUAUAUCUGUUCAUUGAGAUGGUUUCAUGGAUGCUCAUUCAGAUGAAGAUCGAGCACUGACACAUGUAAUAAUCUGAUUAUUUCUUGCUUCCCCUAAAUGCAUACAUCUCUCAUAUUCAAACCUUCUUUUUGCUAUUUAUAUUAUGGUUCUUAAUUUAACUUAAUUCGAUCCAUCGAAGCCUUUUAUAUUAUUUUUGGGAAAUGGAGGAAAUGUAUAUUACUAAGUUUCAAUGUCAAAAAAACAAAGGUGGAUGGAUCCACAUUGCGAUUGCAUGCAUGCAUUCAUGCAUGGUUAAAUUAUUGCUUAUAUAAAUAAUAAACCCUUGCGUAAAGACAUUACAUGAAAUAAAUAGGACACGAUAGUUUAUUCGCAUUAUUGCUAUUAUUUAUAAAAAAAAGAAUGUCUUAUUGCUUGAAUAUGUUGCUAAAAGUUAUCAGCAAAUGCAAGCAAACUGUGGAAAAAAAAAAUUGAACUUGCAACUUCUUGAUAUAUAUAUUUAAGUAAGCUUGCCAAAGUUAAUUCGAAAAUAGAACUAAGGUAUUCAGUUAUCUAUGGAAAACCUAUAUAUAUAUAUCUGUGCUUACUUAGUAGAGCUGACAAUAGCAGCUCUAAAAGAAUUUUCAAACUAAAAAAUUACUUCUCUAUCUGCACAGGUCAGGGGAAAACUUUGAAAAAUGAGUUUCUAUAUAGGUGCUGUACAUGUAGUUCUGAAAUGUCCGGUUUGAUUACAGCGACUGCAAUGCACCAUCCGUUUUGCCCGACCAGCAUUCUCGGCACGAGCUCGUCUCUUUUUAGGUCUUGCUGGUGGCAGAAGCAAUCUGGGUGGUUUUAUAGUGACCUCAACGUCUUUAGACCCUUCAUUUGGGGAUUGUUCAGACAUCUCUUUCCAAAGGGCUUUAUCAGGAACAGGGUGUAUUGUCUGCGAGUAUGCCUUUCGGUAACUUGUCACUGUGAAACAACUUUCUGUAAACCUAUGCACAUUUUGUCUACAAGAAAGGAGGACCGCAAUGGCAUGAGCACAGGGAAGUCCACUCAGCUCCCACCCACGACAAUAACAGCUUCGGGUUCGGAUAUCUACUACGAAUGCUCCAUCAUUGGGGCAUCGUACCUCAAAUUCAGAUUCGUUUGCUUUGAACACUUGGUAAGUGCAUGCACGAUCAUAGGCUUCCAAUACAAUCCUUUCUGCAGGAGGAACAAGAUUGCCUGUCCACUGCAUGCUUGUCUCACGACGUUCAUUGAAACAAGUCAUCAGUUGCCGACGGAUGCACUCCAUCAUUUGGAUUAUUGGAAGGCUAGAGGCCUCUGCUAUCCAAGCACUUAAACAUUCCACAAUGUUGGCCGCCAGGAGUCCCAUCCUUGUCCCUUCGAAAUGUGAUGUGGCCCAUAAAUGAGGAGGAAUAUUUUGAAUCCAGGUAGUAGCUUCUGGUGAGAUUGCUUGAAUGUCAAUGAGUUUUUUUUCAAAUUCAGUUCUGGUGACCGCAUAAGCAGCCUCCCAGAAAAGGUUGGUAAGCACAGAACUAUUGAACUCCUUCUGGAAACAGUGAACGAGAUGAUGCAUGCAGAACCCAUGAAAAGCUGUUGGGAAGUUUGCUUCCACAGCAUCUACAACACCCUUUUGUCUAUCAGACAAGAUGGUAAGCCUGGGCAUGUUCUCUGCAUUGAUCUCAAGCAGAUAGUGCAACUCAGCUAGGAACCACAUCCAAUUGUCAUCAUUUUCCUCGUCAACCACCGCGAAUGCAAGAGGGAAUACAGCACCAUCUCCAUCAAAACCACAGGCAAAAAGCAUGCUCCCCAGGCACUUGCUUUUCAAAACAGUUGUAUCAAGUCCAAUAAGAGGUCGGCACGCGUUCAGAAAACCAUAGAUGGAUGCCUGAUAUGAGAUGAAAAGGCGUUGAAAACAGUUAUCAACAGGAUCCCCAUAAACCCGAGCAAUACUUCCUGGAUUUGUUCUUCUGAUCAUAUGACAAUAUUGCGGGAGGAGGCGAAAAUCUUCCUCAAAAGAGCCACGCACACUGGCCAUGAUACGUUCCUUGCCCCUCCAAGCUUGCUUGUAUGACAACGUUAUUCCGUGAACACGGUGAAUCUCUUCCAAUAUCUCCUUGGGUUUAUAAUGAGGAUUUUCCUUGAUGCUUUCUGCUACUGCAUCUGCAACCCACUGAACCGAGGCUUGUUGAUGACCAAGAUGUGUAAUCCCUCCACAAGUAUGUUGAUCAUGGAUGGUCCUAAUGGUAAAAGUAGGAACACCAGGGAGCUUUGCGGCAUGUAUUCUCCAAGGGCAUCCCUCACUCGCGCAUUUAACUGUAAAACGAGUCUUGUCCGACUUUAUUGUUUGCAUCUCAAAGCGAAGAGCAAUAGCUGCAUCUCUCAGGGCCCUCCUACAGCUGUGGACAUCAGUGAACUCUUUUCCAACAGUCAAUUCAUGGUUUUCCACCAAAAAUAACGAGCGGUGCUGAAGCAUGGGAGAACCGACUAUCAUCUGUUCUUGUUGACGAAACAGGUAUGAUACAGGUUCAAUACUCAUUUCCUGAUUUAGCUGCAAAUCCGAAUUUAAGUUGUCUGAAAUAUCCUGGUUCUUCACAGGAGUCAAUUCAGUACCAUCAAAACCCAAUUCAUGAUCUUGAACAACAGCAGGGAAUUGAUCAUCAUGUUUCUCAACACCAGCACGGUCUUCCUCCGCACCAGGGUAGUUAAUUUGAUCCAUAUCUAAUCCAUUCUCUUCAUAAUCAUGAAGAUUAUCACGUAACAGAGCUACAUCAUUUGUGCAUGUCUGAGAGUGAUCAUGAGCAAGCCGGAUGACCAUAUCAACAUCAGGGAUCUGCUCUGAACGUAAUAAAUCAUGAUUACGACCAAGAACAAAGUUGGCAUCAUGCCCCAUUCCGACAUAUUGGUUCUGCCGUAGUGACAAAUCUUGAUUUUGCUCAAUCACCAACUCAUGGUUUGCCAUAAAGUUAAAUAACUGAUAGCCCACACCCUACAAAUCCAAGCAAAACCUCAUCUAAAAAACCACAGGAAGCUCUAAUUUGAGACUGAUUUGGUUUCAAGCAGAACCCAUUCAUGUAACAAUGUUGGUAAAUAAACAAUUAUUUUACAUAACAAGAAAAAAAAACAAAAAAAGAAACUCGUAGUAAAAAGCAGUGUUUCGAUCUAAACAUGAUAUAAAGCCAUAAAUUUAUAGGAAGCCAGUAGCUGUAGAACCUAUAUAAAGAAAAACAUUUACUGAUCAAGCACCCAUUUUACUGAAAAUUGGAACAAAACACCACUCUACGGUGUUCCUCAGGAUCAUGGAUUUGGAAGGGGGGGGGGAGGAUCCAUCUCAAUAAUGAUCAAGAAGUUGAAAUAAAAGAAUUAAGAGAAAGGGUAAAAAAACUUUCAUACUUCAAUGCAAAAUGGCCAAUUUACAAGAAAAAGAAAUCAUGAAUAAAGUAGAAACAAAACGACAUAAGAGCAACUGAAACGUAGGUUUUCUUUUUCUUUUUUGUAUUUCUAGGCAACCAAACAAAAAAGCAAAUUACUUUCAGUUUGGUCUUUUAUCAAACACAACAAAAAUCACACGUGGGACCCCCAUAAACAAUCAACUUUGCAUACAGAAAAAAGAAAAAGAAACAGAGUUCAAGUUUCGAAUACGUUCAAUGUAUCCAAAAAGAAAAAGCAACAUUGGAAAUUCAGCUUUAAAAAUCCUCUCUUGUUUCUCCAAGACAAUCAAACAGACGAGAGAGGGAAAAAAAAACUCACCGGAAGAUAACACUUUAAAGGGACCUGCAAAAAUAAGUUGAAACCACCAAAAAGGGUAGAAAAAAAGAUUUCAAUAAAUCAAUAAAGAGGAAAUGGAAAAAAAAGGGGGGGGAGAGAGAAAAAUGGAGCUUAAAAGGGGAAUUAGGGAUUGCAUGUACAUAGAGAAUGGAGGAGGGAGGGUGUCGAGUGUAGAGAAAUUUGAAAGGGGGGGAGUUGGCGGGGGUUUAGGGUUAAAAGGGGAAAACUGGGAAAGGAGAAGGGUAAAAGGGCAGAAGAGGUGGUGGGGCGAGGGGAUGUCAUAGCAGAGAAGUGAAGUAGGGUUUAGCCAAAGUUAGAGGGCAUUUAGGUCAUCUAUACAGCCCACCACCCUCCCCUUUUUAUAUAUAGCUUCGUUGCUUCGGCUACGAUACUUUCCUUACCGGUUUGCCGCAUAUUGUAAUUAGUGGGCCCUCUAGAUUUCUGUUUUUCCGGCCACAGUGGGCCAUCUAGAUUUUGGGCGCUUUUUUUUCUCUGUUUUUUUACUAAUGGCUUAAUAGUACAUAAGACCCUAAAUUAUUCCAAAAUAAUCAAUCGAGUCUCUAUGAACUUUUUCAUCCAAU
rnacentral:lncRNA from 1 species